rnacentral:lncRNA from 1 species
CUUGAUGAUAGCUCCAUCCACCUCCAACUGUUGCAAAGUUUGUCUUUAUUUUCAUUUAUAUUAUACUUUCUUCUUUUUUUUGUAGCUAUUCAUGGUGAUCAUUCCGGCAGCACUACAUCUCUUUCCAUUGACUAUUCUUGCAGCAGCAAGCUUAUUUAUGGUGACCCAAUUGGCUAUACCACCUCUUUGGCAAUGACCAUUCCAUCGACAAUACGCCUUAUUUCCAUCAUUCUCACAGCACCACUUCUUCCGGACCACUACUCCGACCAUUGUUAUUGCACAACAUUCCAACAUGAUAAUAAGAUUUCAUCGACAGACUUUUCUGCGGCAAGUUUACCAACGAUAACUCAGUGAUCGUUUAUUUUUUUUCUUUGUUGCUAAAAUAAACAAACUCAAGUUGGUCUCUCUACCUAGAACUUAAGGGAUGCAAAGUAUAUAAGGAUCUUCAAAUUAGUGAUAAGUUUUAGUAGUAAAUUAGUGCGUCAUAUAAAUUAUAUACAAUCCCCACUAUCCUCAUCAAAUAAUCAAACGCCAAAACUUUCUUAUAGCUUUCCACCCCUGAUGCCCAAGGUGUUGCCUCCUGUAAGAUAGUUCCUUCACAUCACACAUCAUUCCAAAACUAACAAUUGCCCUUUUCCACCGUGCAAGUGAAUGAGUCCAGAGGUGUAUCCAGGAUUUUGGGAUGAGUACACUAUUAUGAAAAUGUGGAUCUAAUCGGUUUGACAUUUAUGUUCUUAUCAUUUAAACCGGUUAAAAUUUUAAAUUAUAGUUCCAAAAUUGAAAUGCUUAAUAAAUUAAAACGACAAAAAGUGCUAUCAAUAACCACUUAGAGAGAUGUUACCAAAUUUUAGAAAGAAAAAUAAAACAAGAUAGAUAUAAAAGUCAAAUUCCUAACCUCACUGAGAGGUGCACCCAAUCAUCGUCGCAUUAUAUGAUACUUCAAGUAUGGGUUCACACAUUUAUAUUUAACAAAAAAUUAAAAUAUAUAACACUACUAUAUAUGAUUUCGGGAGGGGAGCAUGGGUUCACGUGAACCUGGGGACCCCCUCCUGCAUACGCCUCUACGUGCAAUCAAUAUGCUUUAAGAACUUGUUUCCCUCAUGAUCCCCUUUCAUACACACAUGGAACAUCUAGUCUUCGCUACUCCAAGUUUCACAGUUUUAUACUUCUCCAUAAUGUAAUUUUCCUCUAGGAUGAAUAUACACAACAACUACCCCAAGAGUGCCAAUUGAAAGUAAAGUUACUCCUAGCCCCCCAUCUCUUAUGAGACCAUCAUCUCCCUCUAUAUCAGACUCUCCCAUCCCUCUUCUCCCCGAUGAGAAGCCCCUCAUCAUCUUGUUCUAUCCAUCUCAACUUAGUAUGUUGCCUCUAAAUUUUCUACAUUAGCCAGGGCCCUUUAUCCAAAACGGAAAAGUAAAGCAGAAAAGUAAAAUAAGAGAAUUUAUGUCCGCCCUCAAGAAAUUGUGUUUUGUGUACUGAGGAUAAAAUGAAUUUUGUGAUAGCCUAAUCGUUAUUGAUAGCAAAACAUUCGUGACAAAACCAAAAUGGAAAUAUCUCAAAGCUGCAAGUUCAAUCUAAUAUAGAAUGCAGAACUUCUAUGUAACAAAUUAAGAAAGUUACCUGAAUUGUUCCCACAAGUUCUUUGGAAGAAAAUUCCAUACAGUAUAUUUUCUGUUUGAGAUCCGGUUGUCACAGUAAAUAUUGUUUGACAAAUCAUCAUCAUCAAUAUAAACAAAACGCUUCAUUGUUGACCUGUAUGCCCUUUUUCAUGUAAUAGAUGCUGACUUUGAGGUUAAAGCAGCAGUUAGUAUCCUUUGGGUCUAUUCAUUACCAAAGAAAUAGAAUUGUACCUGCAAAAUUGACAAAAGUGAUUAGGCUAACAAUUACAUUACAAAAACAAUAAGCAAUUGUAAGGAAGAGAUUGGACAAUGAUCACAAAACACUAACAACCAGAAAAUCUGACGCAUCCAAUUCCAGAUCAUCUUCCAUGGCCAACCUUCCUUGGUUUCAGUUGAGAUAUCCAGUAGCUUGUAUGCUGAUUUCACCUUGAACUUGCCAUCUUUAUCCAUCUUCCACAACAAUCUAUCUUCCUCAAAAUUAAGGCUCUUAGCUUGUUCCAAAGUAUUGUAGAAUUGGAUCAUUCUCUCCACUUCCCAGUCAUUGAGGAAUCUUCUGAAGGACAGAUUCCAACCUUGUGCAUUUUUGAUCUGUGAGAUUGUAGCUAGCUUCUGUUGAUUAAGAUUAUAAAUGUCCGGAAACUGUUGCCUUAAAGGUGUUUGCCCCACCCAUACAUCAUUCCAGAACAAGGUCUUUCUGCCAUUGCCCACUUUGAUCACAGUAUUACCCCACAUUUUUGGCCAUUGAUUUCUGAUAGUUCUCCAUAGUCCCAUUUCAUAAGGAAUUUUAACUUCCUGAGUAGUCCAUGGUCCUUCCCUACCAUAUCUUGCAAUGAUGAUGUCCUUCCACAGGCCUUGCUCAUCUGCUGCCAGUCUCCAUAGCCAUUUUAGCAGAAGACUCUUGUUUUGUGCUUUCAAGUUCUUAAUUCCUAGACCUCCUUCUUUUUUGUUGGUUAUAGCAAUCUCCCACUUGAUCAAGUGAUGCUUCUUCCCCCCUUCACCAUUACCUUGCCAAAGAAAGUUUCUUCUGAUAGCAUCCAACUUUUUGAUGAUCUUUCCAUGAAUUGGAAAAAGGAUAGGUUGUGUAAUUCUGGAAAUAGGUAUUUCAGUGUAUCCCCAACUUAGUUAUCAUUCCAAAAGGAUAUUUUCCUUCCAUUACCAACUUUGAAUCCCACUUUAAGAAUACCUUUGUAUUGUUCUAACCCAACAUAAUGUCCAUUCACUCCCUUUGGGUCCUUUUGAUACCUAACUCAAUAAUUCGUCUUUUAAGACAAUUUAAGGUUCUCUACAACUAGAGGUUCUCUACAUUUUCUAAAGGUAUAGAAAUCACCAAACAAGAAGGGGAGUGUUAGCACAACAGAAAGGGUUCUCUCCGUGAGACCAGGAGGUCACAGGUCCAAGCCAUGGAGACAGCCUCUUACGGAAAUGCAAGGUAAGUCUCUGCCUACAAUUAACCCAAUGUGGUCUAACCCUUCCCUAGAUCUUGGGCAUAGCAGGCACUUAGUGAUUGAGUUGCCCCUUUUUAAUACAAAUCUCUAAGAAAACAUCUAAAGAUCAAUAAGCUAGCGACUAAGAUUUGAUACAAAUAUCAAUUCACUAAAAUGAGUACUACUCUCACAUAAGGGCAAAACAUACACAUUUGAGUAAAUUCUACGUUGUAUAUCUACUCUUUAACAGCAAAAGAAUAUUGUUAAUAAAAUUGAUUCCCACUAACACCUUAACAGAUGCAUCCUGCAUCUAUCAGCAGUUAACUUAUUUUAACUUACCAUGUCCAAGGCACAGGAUUUCAAUACAACCUUAGGAAAAACACACCUAUGUAGACCAUCAUAAAGACAGAUAUUUGUUCAUAUUCCACUUGCAUUCCGCACCAAUCAUCAUGCUUAUAUCUAAGUAAGAAAACAUUUGAAGGACUGUGGUUUACUCAGUAUACGUUUUUUUAUCUGCCAACUUGAACAAGCGAAGAGUUCAAAUUCUAAUUCUGCUUUAGCAUCCGAACAUGGAGGAAUCUAAGACGCAGGCCACAAAAUGUAUAAAAGUAAUGAUCACGAUAAAAAAAGAAAGAGGCAAAUACACAAGAAUAGAAGUACAAAUGGGAUAAGAAACGGCAUUUCAACAAGUGUAUACUGUUCAAACCUGUACGUGUAUGAUGCGCCAAUCUUGCAAAAUCUUUCCAAGUUUACGCCUUUGCCACGAAAUGUUGGUACAAAGAACUCGAAGCAAAGUGAUUAACAACUGUUUUAGACAAAAGCAUGUUUUUAAUGGUGACAGAUCUCAUUAAAUAGACUAGGCAAAAGGAAUUUGAUCAAAGCAGAAACCUAGCCAAUUAGGCGACAAAUAAAACCCAAAACAGAUCAGUUUGACAUUUUACGAGUACCAAUAGGCACAGAAAAAUUUGAGGAUAGAUUUUUUAUCAGAAGCUCUGGACAUAGAAAGUCUCCCUUUAAUAAACUCAUGCUUACUUGCCCAAGCUGUACAACAGUUUCGUUCUUCUGAAUAUCAUGGUUCUUCGCCACCUCAGGUAACAAAGAAGCUUUACAAAUCACAGCAAAGACAGAGUCACGCCCAUAAAGCUUCCCAUCUUGAACCAGCAAAUGCUGUUGAUUAGUCUUUCACAUGAGAAUGUCAUUGAGAAAAGAUAAAAUAUAUCUUAAAGUUCAACAAGUUAAAAAAAAUGAACUUGGAUCACAAAUUCUGCUACAUACAAUAGAAGAUUAGAAGGCAAAUCAUAACCAGUAUAUGAGCCAUAAGUUAUGAACCCUCAACCCCACAACCACCCCUCUGGACGGCUGAUGAAUGAAUAAUCUUCUGGUGACAUAUUUUUCUUCAUGUGAAUUCAGAUAGAAAAUAUCUUUGUUGAUUCUUGAUAACUCGAAAAGCUAAUGCCAACCUUUUGCACCAUAACUACAAGGCUUAUUCAGUCAUAAGAUGGCCCAAUAAUAACUAAAUAUUAUGCAAAAACAUUAACUAAAUUUAAACAUCUGAGUUCCCAAAAACUUGUAGAGAAAAGAUGAGCAUAAUAGCUUAACAGAGAUCCUUGUUCUGGGAUAAACUUCCAAUCACGUCAUCACCACAAAUACCAAGAUGCAUUAACAUGAAAAUGUGAGUUAUCCUCUGUGCAUAUGUUAGCAAAGUCAUUGACUUUGGGAGCAGAAAAAUAAAAACCUUCAAUCCUGUACAGUUCACUUCAUGGCUUAAUCACUAGGCCUAAAUUUAAGAAAUAACUUUUUCUGAACUCUACGAUCCAUACUUUGGGUCUAUACACCGACGGGCGACGAUGAUUUAGGAUUACAUAAAUACUUAGUAUUCCUCUCCCUGCACAAAUUCUUCUUUGGACUACAAGAGUAAAGACAGCAACUUAAUGUGGGAUGUUCUAAGAGUUGCCUACAUCAGCUUCCCAUUUCAGGGACUAAGUCAUUGAAUUAACAAGAUUAGAACAGGCAAAAUUGAUGUGCACAAUGUUCAUGAAUGGACGCAUGCAGAAUUUAUAUGUGCUAUAAAUUACCUGGAGAUGAGCUCUAGCAACCAAUUCUGGUUGAAACUUUUGAAACUCGACCACAAAUCGUAAAACACCUUCAAAGACUGGAUCUAAACUGUAGAAACAUAUGAUCUCUAGUUCAUGAAGAAGCUUUUGGAAAUAUUCAGCUGCCUGGUAGAAGAAUACAAACAUGAUUUGCUGUACUACUUGGAUCAAAGCAAGGUGCUUGUGUGCUUUUUCAUGCCUUACCUUCUUCCAGCUAAUUGUCUCGAUAGCACGAGGUGGAGUUGGAGCCGAUAAUCUACUAUUUAAGGUAGAAUCAAACCAUGUUGGGCCAGUGGGUCUGGGCCCAACAUUUUGAUUUCUUUUCCUUUUCCUUUAUGUUCCUCCAGGGCACGUGCCCCUUUAAAGAAUUCAAAAACUUUUGAAGACCCCACGUGAUUAUUCCUGCCCCCAGCUGUCAAGGGCGUGGAUUUCGCUGCCCCUCCCUUGGGUAUUACCUGCUGGAUCGAGACUUUGGCCCUCCCGUCACCUACGACCUCGAGGUCUUCUUCUCCGACGAAGAACCUCGUCGGUGUCUCAUCCCAUAUUUGUAAGAUAAAACCAUGCCCCCCGAAAGCUACCUUCACCUCCUUCGGAAUGGGCUUUUCGUUGUUUUUGACAAGAAUUCUUGCCCAUUUGAGGCGGUUGCGUAGUUCCGUCUCCUCCUUCUCCUUCGGAAUGGGCUUUUCGUUGUUUUUGACAAGAAUUCUUGCCCAUUUGAGGUGGUUGCGUAGUUCCGUCUCCUCCUCUGUUUUCACCCAACCCCCACAAAAAUCUCCUACUGCUUUGAACACAUUUUGUGACCACAGAUGUAGAGGGAGGCCCACCAAUCUGAUCCAAGAAUGAUUGAUUUUAGUUCUUGAUUGAGUUGCACCCACAGUCGGCGUCCACCAUUGUAGCCGUAUGCUCUGGUUCAUCCAUAGCCAUCUUCCUCUGAGAAUAUGCUCAGCAACAGUGAUGGAAGAGAAUUCAAAAAGGAAGUGAUUGUGUCCCAUCUCGUAGAUGUUGAUGCCAUGAGUUUGGGUCCAGUUUUUGCUCACCCAUCUACGAACUUCCGACAGGGUUGGGUUCUCAGUUCCAUUUUCUGGAAAUCUGCCAACGAGACUUCUCCCUAAGAGUUCAUUUUGAUUUUGGUCGGGUUCUCCGUCAAUAAUGAUGGUGUUUCCUUCCUCCUCUAUGAUGGCUGUCUCGAUCUCUCUAGAAGACCAUUUGCUCCUCCUGAUAGUUUCUGCAUAUGAUAUCUCUUUAUCAAACAUCUUGUAAUUCUUACUAGGUGUCUUAAAAGCUUUGUCAUUAAUGAAUUUUUCAAUUUUGGUGGCCAAGUCCCACCAACCAGCAUUGAAUGUGAUUUCAGGAAUUAUUAUUACAGCUCUGUUCUUUCCUUGUAUGUUGAUAAUGCUUAUAUAUCUCCCUUUGUUGUUAAAGUUCCUUGCACAAAAUACAUUUGACACAUGCUCCUGCCUUUUCCAUCUUCUGACUACGUUUCCUUUCACCUUUGACGCUUCCUUGAGAAUCGAACAAAUCCAUUCCAUCGUUUUUUGACUAAAGCUUGCUCUGCUCAUCAUUCUUCUUCCUUUCUCAGUCCAGUCAUACCAUGUCUCUGCUCGAGAUACAUCUCUUGCUACAUCAAAAGACUUGAAACCCAUUGCGAAAAAGAUCAUAUCUUCCUCCAUUUCAAGAAGUACAAGGGAAAGGAAAGGUUGGGAGUGGGAGAAAAGGGAAGAGAAAGAAAUAAAGGAAUGAGGAUUCCGGUGACAGAAGGUCGCCGGAGGGGGUUCUGCCCUCCUUCGUUAGGAUUAUUGCCGGAAAAGAAGAUUCUGAUGACCUGUGAAAACGAUUGGGGUCCCUCGCGACGGCACGUGAGGCGCGUGGCGUCGGAUUCUGAUGGAGAAAGGAGGCGCGUGGGAGCGCGUGAGAUGUUUUUUGAGGAUGGGUAUUUUUGGGGUAGGGUCGCAAUAGGGUGAAGGAGGUUGUGAUGGAGGCAAUUUGGAAGAAGAAAGAAAGAGAGAGAUGGAAUUCUGAUGGUCAGAAGGACCACCGGUGGGUUUUCUGGGUAGUGAGAUGAUUUUUAAAAGUUACAUCGGGAUUAGUGCCUGGGAGAAAAGUUAAGAUUGGCUGACAUAAUAGCGCAGACAGAAGUUAGUUCUCUUGAUUUUACUUUUAAAACAUAACCUUAUAAGCCCAUAGUCAUUUGGUGUUUUUCCAUUUGCCUUAGAUGUAUCCCAUAAGCUAGCGAGAGGUAACAAGAAUAAAUGAAUAGUAGAAAAUCUACCUCUACCUUCUGGAAGGUAGAAAAAAUCUAGUUUCCAUGGCAUCCCAUCAUCAUCACAUAAGGGAAUCAAGUGAGCUGUUGUGUAAUCAGCUAAGCGGCCAGAGUAACAUACAGCGAAUCCCAAGAAGUUAUCAGGUACGUACCAAUUUUCAGGCAAAUUGACUGAUACACUUUUAUCCAUUCCCCGAUGGUGGAACCAACUUGGGAUUUGCUGCAAGGAAAACUUAUUCCCACCAAGCACAAUGCUAAACACUCUUUGUGACAAGGAAACGAUUUCCUGAGAAAAGGUAAGUGGAAAUUCCAGUUCCCUCAUCACAUUUUCUAGCAUGUAAAUCUCCGACUCCACUAUCGUGUUUCUAAGGAAUUUUGGAAACUUUUCUAAACUAGAGCAACCCCGUAGACAUAAGUACCGAAGAGAAUCAAUGCACAGACCUGGAAACCUCUUAAGCUGUAUACAAUUAGUCAAUAUUAAUGUAUGGAGGUUUUUGAGAAAUCUUACGGAAUGAUGAACCUCUUCAAGAUUUUUACAAUAUGACAGAUUCAAAGUCUUCAAAUUCUGCAUCUCCAUAAAAUCUGGCAACUCUUUAAGCCUCUUGCAAUAUGAUAAGUCCAAGGAUUGAAGAGCACCAAGUUGGGCUAUGCUUCGAGGCAAAUGUUUAAAGUUAUUUCCACUGAGAUUCAACAUUUUCAAAGAGGAUAAGCAUCCAAUGUCUUCCGGAAGUCCUUCAUCAAUUAGAUUGCAGUAAUCGAGACGCAGAACAUCCAAUAAGCUUAAUCCUUCAUUCACCUGAGGGAACACAAAGAGAACUCUAUCUUCGAGGCCUACUUCUGAUUUUUGAAAAGUCAAGGAUUUAAGCUUGUUCAAGCGGACAAUGGAAGACGGAGGUCGUGAAAUUUGAGUGAAUGUGGCAUGAAGCUCCUUCAAGUUUUCUAAAUCACCUAUCUCUUCUGGAAAGCUUUCAAGUUUUAAGCAGUACGACACAUUUAGCUCCAUCAAACCUUUCAACUUACAAAUGCUGCUCGGAAGAGUUACAAGGUUUUCCAGAGAACUCAAAUCUAGCUUGGUAAUAUGAGUUAGGUACUGAAUAGAUGAUGGUAGUUCCCUUAUCCCAGAACGUUUCACCUUAAUUUCUAACCCCGGCUUGAUUCUUCCGAGGAUUUCUGGAAAUUCCUCUAAACUAGAGCAACCAUAUAGGUAUAGAGAUUCAAGCGACUCCCCAUUAACACAUGGAAACUUCUUAAGGAUUUUACAACCAUCCAAAUCUAACUCAAUGAGUUUACUGCAACAUCCCAGGGAAUGGUGAACCUCUUCAAGACUCUUACAUUCCAUCAGAUUCAAAUACUCCAAAUUUGGCAUCCCCGUGAAAUCUGGUGUCCACCUCAGGCUUCCAGAAAAGCUGAGAUUUAGCUUUCGUAGAAAUGGCAAAUGCUGUUAUAUGUUCAGAACACAGAAAGAAUGAGAUAGGAAAACAGGAACAACCAGGCAUCUAUGGUCACUAGAAUAGUUAAGAUGUCUAUCUGACAGUUGUAGUCAGUUUUGAGUGUCUGUGAGUAUUUGACCAAAAGAAAAAUAAAUUGAAUUCAGCAAUUGUACCUUUGUUCCAAUCCAUAAAUGAUGCAAAAAACUGUACUGGAGAUCAAGAUGAACAAGUCCUUUAGGUUCAAAAUUUUCUCGCAAUGAUUCCCAAGGAUAUCCAUGCCAAUCAAACCAACACAAGCUGUUGGGCAGGUACUCAAUGGAGUCAUCAUUUGCUAACGCGAACAGUUGGUCAGGUACAAAAUGACCGAUGUGUAAUAUUCUUAGCUUUAUCAUUUUUUUCAUGGCUUUUUUGCUAAAGCGUAGCUUUUGAAUACGUUGUAGCCAGAUUGCUUCCAUAGAUUUUGUCCCCUGAUAAAAGGAUCAUUAGUCUACAAAGUAAAACUUCAAACAUCUGUACAAAAUCUGCAUACCAGUAUGACUACUUUCCCACUCCUUGCAAUGCCAAAGUUCAUCAUGUUUUAUUAUUGCACUUGAGGUUCUUGAAGAGCUAGCAAAAAAAUAUGUAUCGCUUAAGGGAAAUGCUUUAUGCAAUUCAUUCUACAAUUCUAUUUUCUAAUAUUAAACUUUUUGAGAAGUUCUUUAGAGUCAAGUCGGAAAAAAGUUCAUGUUGGGAUAUAAUGAAAUUGUAAUUGAAACGGUACCAAUAAUUGUCAUCUUUUAACUAAAAAAUGAUCAAUGAUCAAGUGAAAUCCAGACUGAGGAUUGUUAAGGUAAGUUUUGGCCUUCCUUGCUUGUAUUCUUUCCAUUUGAUUAUGUUUAUUAAUAAAACGUUAUUCAAGGUAAAUAUUUGGGUGAUAUUACUGAUUGAGUUAGUACUUAGUACAUACAAAAUAUCAUACAAAUUUCAAGUUAAUCCAAAAAAUGAAAUCGGAUUAAACAUAUUAAGCGACUACUAGACUGAUUCAUGGCUUGAUAACAAAAGAUAAAUUAAUUAGGCAUUGUUAAUUAAUAAUGGCUACUUGACAAAUUAGCUAUGUUAGGCAAUAAGUGUUACUUUUGCUUAGUUGCUUCACCUGUUAAAGUAAAUAACUAAAAUGGUGCACUUGCAAGAAUAUGAAGCAAGAGGAACAAAUAAUUGGACUUGAAGACCAGAAAUUGAAGCCUACUUACUGUAUUAUUGACCAUCACCUCUUCGAAAUCUUCAGCAUCCCAAAGUCUGCUCUGUUUUCCCGAAUCUUUUUGCAUUUUCACCACAUAUCUGCCCAUAUCUUGAAUUAAGUCAUGCAUUUCAACCCUAUCAUUUUUGGAAAUGUUCACAAGAGAUUUGUCAAUCAGGACAUCCAAUCCGUAUUCAGCUCCAAAAUCACAACUUUCAAGGAUUUCAAUGACUACUUUUUUUUCAUCUCCUCGGAAGAAACAUGCCAUAUCUAGAAAUAUCUUUUGCUCUUCGGGCUCCAACCCGUCAUAACUUAUCUUGAGCUUUUUAACAAUUUCUGAACUAGAGUUUUUCUUUAUUUGGUCUACAGUGCUUCUCCACUGAGUCAGGCUUUUCUUAUGCAAUAAAGAACCCCAUACCUUGAGGGCUAAAGGAAGACCUUUAGCAUGAUUUACUACCUCUAACGAGAAGUUCUUAAAACGCUCAUCCGGAACUUCUUUUUUGAAAGCAUGCUGAUUGAACAAUUCCAUAGAUUCAUGAUCAGGUAGUGUAGGAACUUCGUAUAUUGCAUCAUCUUUCUCUAUCAAGUGUCUAUUUCUAGUUGUUACAACAACUCUACUGCCAUUACCAAACCAACCAAGAUCACCUGCUAAAUACUCUAAAUGAUCACUAUGAUCUAUGCAUCAAGAACGAUUAGCACCUUCUUUGACGAAAGCCUGUACGAAAUCAGUCUCUUCCCACAGUACUUAUCAUUGGCAUAAUCAUAUUUUUGUCUUAACAACUCAGAUAGAAGGGUAUUUUGUAAAGAAUGCAAUUGACUCUUUGUUGCAUUUUCUUUAACAUCCUCAAGAAAACAAGCAGCUUCAAAUUGAUAAGAUAGAGUAUCAAAGAUGGCUUUUGCUAUUGUUGUUUUACCGACUCCGCCUAUUCCCCAUAUCCCUACCAUCCGAACAUCAUCUAUUUCUAUCUUAAGUAGGGACUUAACUUUCUCUAAAUGAGCAUUUAUUCCCACAAUAUCUUGCAAAGAAGAUGAAGAAUAAGCAAUCUUGCAUAAUUUGGAAGAGAUGUAAUUGACAAUCUGCUGAAUAUUCUCUGAUUCAAUCCUACAUAAAUAAGAAAUUGAUUGUGGAAGAUGUGAGAAAGUCAAGUAUUAGUAAGUAUUUCAUAUUGUUAAUGUCCAUUAGGAUAUAAAAUAGGAAAAUUAUUCCAUUUCUUAAUUUUUCCAUUAAAGCAGUGAUGUGUAUUUAACUCACCCGUCACGGAUAUCGUAUCCUUUUAGAUUUGCAGCAGCAGUUAGGACAGUCCUCCAUCCUUGCACCUUCUGCAUCCCCUCAACAUCAUCCUUAUACUUUAUCUCGUGUUCGGCAAAUGCUUCUGCAAAGCUCUCGGUCUGGUUUCAAACGUGUGAUGGAUCCACAUCAUAGAAGACCGGUAUGACCAUUUGUCCAUUUUCGCUCUUGCAUUCCAUGAUCUUCUCUAGUUCAUUCAAGCACCACCUCGAUGUAGCAUAAUUCUUUGAGAAAACAACAAGAGCAACUUGAGACUCUAUGAUAGCUUUCAAGAGUUCUUGUGGGAUCGAAUCACCAUGCUCUAGCCUUUUAUCAUCUUGAAAGGUAAAUAUUCCCCUAUUUCUCAAACCUUCGUACAAGUGACUCGUAAAUGUUUUUCGAGUAUCUUCACCUCUAAAACUUAGGAAGACAUCGUACUUCCAUCGAGGACAGUACUGUGAAGAUGAUGCCAUGGAUUUAGUUAAUUUGUGUAAAAAGAAAAAUAAAUUGUAUGGUUGUGGCAAGAGAUCACUUGAUGAUAUUUUGGAUAAAGUUAUAUACAGAAAAGAGAAAAUAAAUAAGUACCACUUCAAAUAUCAAAAGUUCUAUGUACAUUGGAUUUAGUCAACUUAUAAUAUUAGGAAAUUUCUCUUAACCUUCUACAGUUCAACCCCAAAAGUAAGUACUAGGACAUUUCUGUGAAGCUUCUUAAUCUCUGAGCUUAAUUGGAUUAUGUCCAUCAAGACUUUGUGAAUUAGGUGGAAUUUGAAAGAGACCUUAGGUUCCCCACCCACUUGAUUGACACUUAAUGCCUUCACAAUUGCAACAGCUAAUCCUCACCAUUACCAGUAAUGACUAUGGAAAUAUUCACCCUUCGUUUCGAUUGGUUUGGCCUACUUUCAUUUUCUUCUUUAGCAACUCAUUAAUUUCAAUUUUCUACCUAAUUUGUUUAAGACCACAACAUUAAAGUGUUUUUUACUUCUUCUUUUUUAAUGAUCCUGGUCGCGCACCUCACAGAACAACAACAAGUACCAGGUAACUUUUUUUUACUGUAGUGUUCGAAUUAGCUUUCGUGCACCUUGACUAAUUCCACGGGAUACCUACCACCAACAACAGAUACCAGAUAACUCUGUCUACAAAGGCUAGCACGGAUGGGGAAGAAUCGCCUAGUGAUUUUUUUGGUCUCCUCCGAAUUUUGAACCUGCGACCCAGGUUCUCAAUUACUUCAUUGACAACUAUGUCUCGGUGCAAAGUAUCUUUUACUUUCUUAAACUAUGUCCCAUGUAAAAAUAGGUUAAACAAAUUAAAACGGAGUAAAGUACUAUAGACUAUAGUAGAUGUUAACAAAAAUUACCUUGUAAUUCUCUUCCCAUAGAAAAUCGUGUAUCAUCUUCUCCCCACAAAUGUUGGAGCAAAUUUGUUGUGCUCUUUUUGGUCUUUGUUGGUGGGUCUCUGUUUACCUUCCUCUAUUGGGUUCAACUCAGCUCAGCAUAUGUCAAUGCCUAUUUAGAUUGUUGACACGUGUUCUUUUUAAUUUCAAAGGCUAAGAUUUGUUUUCAGUUUAAUAAUCACUUUAUGUGGAGUCUGUUUGAAUAGACUUAUUUUAGGUGUUUUGAAAUAUUUUUAUAGUGUUUGAAUAAGAUGAAUUUAGUAAUUUAUGAUUUUUGACUUAUAAGUUAUAAGCCAGUCUGGUUGUUAGAGCAUAUUUGUAUUUGGUUUUUUUUUUUAAUACUUUUAAGUCAAAAUAAUUUUUAAACAGUUUAGUAAUAUUUGUGUAAAAUAGAAAAAUAAUUAUAAGCACUUAUUUUUAAGUAAGAAAAACAACAACAACAACAAAAAAAAGCACAAAUUAAAAUUUCUAACUUUAACACUUUUGACUUAUAAAUCAUAAGCUAAAAGUCAAACCAAACAAUUAAUUUUGAAGUGAGUUUUCAUUAUUUUGCAUUGAAUUUUGGAUAAGCAGAUUUUGCGGUUUAGAAUAGAUAUAUUCCUCCUUUAACAAGUGGUGCUAUCAUCGUCUAACAAAUGGUUUGUUUAUUCCAAAAAUAUCUUACAAUUGGUUUGUUAAUUCCAAAAAUACCACAUGAUUUUAAAAAAUUACCUCACAGUUUUAUUUAAUCUCUCCAAAAGUGUCAAAUAAUUUUUUAAAGCCACAUGACAUUUUUUGAAAUUAAAAAUCAAUUUCAAAAUAUAUUUAUAAAUUCGGUAAAUAUAGGUAUAUUAACGAAAAGAGUAAAUAUGCAUUAUUUAUUAGAGGCGAAAUGGUCUAAUGGAUCCUUGUAUUUGUAUCAUUUUGUAUUCUGGAUCCUUUUAUUUAAACCUUUGUCAUCUGGACCCUUAAACUAAAUAAAAACACAAUGUAACAAAUCCCUCUGACCAUUGACCAAGCUUAUGUGGCAUUAGAAUGUCUGAGUUGGCAAAUAUGUGUAACUACACGCUUCUUUAAGCGAGUGAAUAACAUUUUUGGGUUAAAAAAUAUUAAAAUUAUAAAAGAAAUAUUUUUUAAAAAACAAUUAAUUAAAAAAAUCCUUCUUCUUCUUCACCCACUAUCCGGUCCUUUUCAACCAUUUUCAUUCCAUACCCACCCCUUUUUUCUUCUUCUCCACAAUCUAUUAACAUUAAUUUAUCAGAUCUUAGGGCACAUCUUGAGUCCACUGAUUAACCGCGGAGGGAGAAAGCGGCGCUGGUGGUGCACGCCGGAGACCACUGCUUCGCAAUAGAGUGAGAGAGAGGCGGCAUUGGCCAGUGGAGAGAAGAACGAGGUGGGUGAGGGUGCGAGGUCAUGGCGACGAAGAGGUUUCUCGGUCAGAUCUAGUGAUGCGGUAGCUUAGGUUGUUGGUUUUGUGGAGGUUGGAGGAGGAAAGGAAAAUGGUGAUGGUGUGCGGUGGAGAUGAAGAUAGGUGAGGGAGAGAGUAUAUGCGAUUUCGCCGGCAAAAAUGGCCAUGACGACGGCGAUGGCUUCUCCGGUUGAUUUUGGCCGUGAACAGUGAAUGGGGAGAAUGAGAUGGCACUAACAACUUUUACGUCUCUUUUUACAUUUAUUAAAAAAUUUAUAUGAAGAGUAUAUGUUACCUUUUAUUAAAACAUUAUAUGGAGAAUCAAAUUUCGGCUACCUUUCAUUUAAACUAAGUUUGGUUAACAAAUAAAAUUUUACGGAUAUUUAUUAACAUAUGAAGAGUAUAUAAUACCUUUUAUAAAAUAAUUUUGGUUAAUAAUUUUAAAAAAUAAUUAUGACAUGGCACUAAUAUAUAUGACGUGGAUACGACAUGUCAUUUAUGUAAAGGAGAGUGAGUUACACACAUGGUUGGAGGGGCUUAAAAAUUUCAUUUUAAUUGAAUCUAAGGGUUCAAUUGACAAAUGGUUAAGUAAAAGGGUCCAGAAUACAAACGGAUAUAAGUAUAGGGGUCCAUCAGACCAUUUCGCCUUUAUUACACGAUGAGCCAUAUAUGCACCACCCUUUUAAUAAGGGAUAUAUCUACUCUAAAUCACAAAAUUUAGGGCUCUAUUUUUGGGAAAAUUGUAUGAAAUAGCAAACUAUUAAUUCAAAUUAAAUGUUAUAGCAAUAGUUUAUUUUAUUUGUAAUUCGCAACAAACAUCUCAUUUUUUUGCCAUCUGGUUCGAUAUACAAUUAGUCAUUUUUCGGUAUACAAUUACCCAUUCGGUAUACAAAUGUAUAAAAUGCGUUUGUGUUUGUAUAAAGCGAGAGAAAAAGUGUAUAUACAAAUACAAAUACAUAUCUUUUCGUCAUAUACACUUAUAAUUAUACAAAUAUAGAUCUUAUUAAACAAACUACAAUGUAUACAUGAAUUUAUACAAAACUGAACAAUUUGUAUAAAAUUGGAUGUAUUUAGCGAAUUAUAUAAAUCAAAAGCACCAUAGCAAACAUAAAAUUUGCUAUGAAGCGCAAUUAUGCAAAUUAUAGCUAUAACAUACAAAUAUAAUUUUUAUGUUUACUAUAUGUGAAAAUUGUUCUAUAGUUUUUCCUUUUUCCUAUAUUUUGGGAUAUUAGCGAAAAAGUACAGCCCACAAUACUACUUUGCACUUAGGUAGCCAGUUCUCAAGUUUUCAGUCGCGUAGCUCAUUAUUUUCUUACAACAAUGGUUAAAAUCUCUAUAUACGAUAUUAUAAAGGGCAAACUACAUAAAUCCCACUAGUUUAGGUCCUAAUUACUUAGAUUCCCAAUAGUUUUAGCUAUUACUUCCUCUACCAUAUUUCAUACUUAGGAUACAUGAGUUUAAAUCCGUGAGAUACAUGUAUCUGUCGAAUUUAAAAUCGAGAUACAUAUUUUAUUUGUUUAAAUUAAUAGGUUGUAACUGAUUUCCUUAAUAUAAGGAGGAAAUCAAGGAGUGUAUUUAUGUUUAAUUAAUUUCAUUUUAUUAUUAUUUGAAAUAAUAAAUUCGUUAAUAUUAUUAAUAAAAGACAAAAACAUGUAUAUCUUGGUCAUGCAAUUUGAUUAAUUUCAUUUUAUUACUCUUAAAAUAAUAAAAUUCAUUAAUUUGAUGUAUCUAUUAUCAAUAUAUGAUGUAUCCAACAAACUAAACACUUAGAUACAUGAGUAUCAUACAAGUACAUUCAUAUGUAUCAUAGAAGUAUCUAAUAUUAAUUUUGUGUAUAUGUUAUAUGUGUCUAGUAUUAAUUUCAUGUAUCUAUUUAUAUGAUAUAAUAUUAAUUUCAUGUAUCUAUUUAUAUGAUAUAAUAUUAAUUUCAUGUAUCUAUUUAUAUGAUAUAAUAUUAAUUUCAUGUAUCUAUUUAUAUGAUAUAAUAUUAAUUUCAUGUAUCUAUUUAUAUGAUAUAAUAUUAAUUUCAUGUAUCUAUUUAUAUGAUAUAAUAUUAAUUUCAUGUAUCUAUUUAUAUGAUAUAAUAUUAAUUUCAUGUAUCUAUUUAUAUGAUAUAAUAUUAAUUUCAUGUAUCUAUUUAUAUGAUCUAAUUUUAAUUUCAUGUAUAUUUUAUAUGUAUCUAUUAUUAACUCGAUGUAUCAACUAUCAAUUUCAUACAUUAUAUUCAAAAUCAUGUAUCUCGGAUACAUAGUAAACGCACAUAUAAUUAUGUGUAUCUAAAUAUGAAAUAUAAUUGAAACACACGAAUUUAGGAACAAAUCACGACUGUGGAGUAUUUGUCUUAUCAUUAAUCCAAAAAAAAAGUUAAAAAAUUACAAAAAUUCUUCCUUUCUUUAAGGAUCUGAAAUUUGUUCUCAUAGAUGCAUAUAAUCUUAACUCAGAUACAUGAACUCUUAACUAGAUACAUGUACACCUGAUGUGUAUCCAACAUUUGUUGCACUUGAUGUGCAUCUAAUGGUGUAUUUUUUUUCUCUUAAUUAAAGCUUGGCGUAAUUCUUCAUCUUGAUUGAGUCAUUCCUAUACUUAGAUCUAUUCUCGACUUGAAUGUUGGUGGAGGAAGAGUCAGUCCCUACAAUGAGAAAUUGAUGAGUGAAAAUGAGCAAAUAAAAGUUGUUUGAUUUAGUAUAGUAUUGUUAAUAUGUAGUACCUUUGACGAGAAUCAUCCGAUUUUGGGAAUGUUCAACCAUUAAAAGUGUCCGAGAAACAACAAAAUAAAAAAAUAUAAAACCUAAUUUGUAAAAUUCUACAAAAUUGAACUUUAGAACAUUAUGAACUCUAACUCAGAUACAAAAUUAAAAUACGUGAGAAUAAUGUUGAUUUGAACAUGCAAACAUAUAUUGAGAGGAUGAAGGAAGAAAGAGGGAAAAGAUGAAUUAAGGAAGAAGGAGGGAUGGGCUUACGGAGGAAACUGCAUAUGUGAAAAAAGAAGAAGAUGAUUUGACUUGUAUUGGAUAUGGACCAUUAAUUAAGGAGUAGAUAAUUAUUCAAUUCCUUAUAAGGGAUUAGUGUAUAUGAUUAAAAUUUUCAAAAUAUAUGAUAUAAAUAUUAAAAGUGGUAAUAUAUGUAAUUAUUUUAAACUAGAGAUAAAUAUAGUAUAUAUGGUAGUGAUGUAUGUGUAGUUAUGUAGUUUAUCCUAUUAUAAAUAACUUUAUUUUUUUUACAACAAUAUUUAAAAACUUGAUAUACAAUAUUAUGCACUUAAUAUACAAAUAUUAAACAAAAUUAUAAGAGGUGUUUAUACACUCAUAUACACUAAAUUCGUCCACGGAUUACAGUAUUUUCAUAUGAAAUUAGGACAAAAGAAUCUCCUAUAAAUUGAUGUCAAACAUCAAUGGCCAUACAUAUCCAAGUUUUAAGAACAAGAACAUAUUAGAAAACAUCACCUAGAAAAAUAAUAGCUAAGUCAAGAUACCACAAUGUACAAAAUACAAACCUAGAAUGACUAAGCUAACCAAAACUAAAUAUGCCAUUAAAAUACAUUAAUGAUUCAAUAAAAACAGACACAAAAGUACAACUUUAUAAACAUUAGCAGGCCAGAAAUGGAAACUAAAAUACGAGCCAAAUAGAGAGUCUGAGUGUCACGGACUUAGAAUCCUACUAAAGCUCCGUGCGGCACUUGACAACUUACUCACGAAUCUUUCACGAUCUUGUAAGCUCAAGUAAGCCAUUUGAAACUAAGAUCGCUAAGAGAAUGCAAAGAAAGACUUAGAAAGAUUUGGAAAGUUUGGAAGAAGGCUUGUAUUAAGCUUGGAAGAUUGCUUACACUUGCUUGGUGAUUUAUAAAUGAGAGGCCCCUUCUAUUUAUACUACUUCCUAAGGGCCUAAAUGCAAAUAAAAAUUACUUUACAAGUCCCUCUAAUAAUUACAUUUUAGUCCCUUUCUAGAAUUCUCUACCAAUUCUAGGAAAUUCUAAAAAUUUCUUGGAAAAUAUCUAAGUUAUUCUAGAGAAUUAUGUAAAAGGUUCCCUUUCUAGAAUUCUCUACCAAUUCUAAAGAUUUCUUGGAAAAUAUCUAAGUUAUUCUAGAGAAUUAUCUAAAAGAUUUUAGAGUUCUCCGCAAACCUCUUCACAACUCUAGACCCUUCCGUCCAAUUUAACUGUGAUGUGACGGGACGUGACAUUGAGUCUACUUAGUUCACUGAUCAACACACUUGUAACUAAAUAAAACAUGUAGUUUGAGUAUAUAAGACAAUAAAAGAAUAUAAGUAUCUUACAUUUAAUGAACACGCAUGAGUACAUAUACAGAAACGACUAGCAUCUGCAGACAUAAGCCAAGACUGCAGCCAAGACAAAAAUAAAUCAUAGGAAAAAACGCGAGUUUCAUUGAUAGUACGGUAAUAACAUGCACAAGAACUAAUUCGUAAAUUCUAGUGAAUCCUUUUCACCCUUGUUUCUACCAAAUUCCCUAAGCUGAGCACAUAACUCAAUGCUUACUAUCUCUACAUAAAACCUUAAACAGAUAUAUAGAAUUUUAACGACUGCUUGAACAUUCUGUAGAACCACAUUGCAUCAGGGGAGAGAAGAGAAUGGCCACUGAAAUGAUGCUUCAGUGUGUCUUUGAUGGAAGCUUGUCGAUGUCAGACAUGAUGACCUUACCAUAAAAACUGCAGUUGUGCAUUGCAUAAACAGAAGGAGGAUAUAUCACAGCCAAGCACUUGUGUCCAUGGUAGGAAUAUAUCAUUCCCCAAAAGGCAAAACCGGAAAGAUAUGACUUUGUCAAUAGCAGCUUCUCAAUUCUCUUCUCCAUCCUCUUCGUGCAAUAAUUCAUCAGUCACGAGUGUACAGCAUAUGACGUUGAGCUUACCAAAUAGUUCAUGAUAGAUUUUGGCUAUUUCCUAGUCAGAUGAGUUUGGCAAAGAAUUGAGUGUUCUGCUUUUCUUCUUAUACAUUCCCAAUUUUGGUACAUUCUGGUAAGUUUGUGUACCAAGAAGAUCUCAUUUCACACUCUGAGAGACAAAGACCUCGAACAUCGUAGAAAAAAGAUCACUGCCAAUGCAUCAUUUUAGACCUAACUAAGUCCUUUUAUGACACAAAUGUUAAAAUAAUGCAUCAUUUUUGGACCAUUGAGAUUAUAAAACUAAACUCAUUCAGUAAAGAACAAAGGGAAUAAUGUCCACAAAUGGACUAGUAUUAUGUUUGUUACUGCACUUACCUUGCCUGUCACAAAAUACAAGGAAAUAUGUACACACAUACUUUGUAAGAUUAUUCUAAACCAUCUGUCACUUUCAUCAGAUCUGUUUACUUUUUCAUUUCAUCAAUUUCUCCGUCUUAAGAAAAAUGCUUUAGUUGCUGAUAUUAUCCCCUCAAGUUUUCUUGUUUUUGUCUCUUUUGUGUUCUUCAUCCCUUCUUUGCCUUUAAGAAAAUGUAUGAUCUGUGUUUGAGUAUAAAAGAAAAUGUAAGAAUGAAGAUAUGCAGAACAAACUGGCACAUACUGUAUCAUUCUUACUAGUUUUAAACAAAGAAUUCACAGUUACAGGGACAGUUUCAAGGAAUCCAAAUGGUUUUAUAACAUGUUUUCUACUGUUCUUUAAAAUAUAUGUUAGAACUAAUACCAGAAAACAGUCGAGAUGGAAAAGCCACGUCCAUAUUUAGCAGAAGCACGAAAAUCUUAUCAUUCCGGGACAAUCAAACUGAGAAAAGGAGCAUAGUACUAGCAUCAGUAUUCAAUGAAAAAUAACUCUGAUUAAUUAUGUCAAACAAAAGAAUUGUAAAGCUAAGUCAUGCUGCCUUGUUCAUUAAAGUGACGAUGAUGGACUAGAUUUGCAAGAAACUAUAGGUCUUUCGAGACAACUCCCUACCAUAUUGUUUUAGGUCAACCUUGUCUCCUUGAUAUAGGACAUGCAUGUCUAAAUCCGCUCUCAAACAACUUCCUCUCAUUUGCUCUAUUUGCACCUUGUAUCGAAUGUGAUCACUUUUAAGUUUUAGUACUAUUGUCUAAUCUUGUAUAACCGCAUAUUCAUCUUACUUAGCAUACGCAUCUAAGGCAGAAACUGAACUUUUCCUGCUUUGAUUUUGCACCAGAAGAUAAAAUGCUCAACUAGCCCUACAAAGUGUUAAAAUAAUGCAUCAAUUUAGACUAAAGUAAGUCCUUGUAUGACACAAAUGUUAAAAUAAUGAUCAUUUUAGGCCAUUGAGAUUAUAAAACUAAGCUCAUUCAGUAAAGACAAUGGGAAUAUACUGUCACAAAUGGCCUAUUAUUAUGUUAAUUUGUUUCUGUACUUACCUUGCCUGUCACAACUCACAAAAUACAAGGAAAUAUUUAAGAACAUAUAUACUUUGCAACACUUUUCUAAAUCAUCUGUCACUUUCAUCAGAUCUGUUUACUUUUCAUUUCAUCGGUUUCUCCGUUUUCAGAAAAAUGCUUUAGUGGCUGAUAUUUCCAGUUGUUAAUUAUUGGGAUUUAUAGUAUCUUUUACGUCAUUUUCAACUAAUACAUGUUAUUUUAUCUAUCUCAAUUUAUGUGGCACCGAUAGAAGUCUAAGAGUCAACCGAAUUGUUUAUAUGUCUUUGAAAUAUUUUAAAUUAUUAGGUAAGUUUUAAUUAUAUAAAAGAUUUUUAAAAAUAAAACAGACAAAUCAAAACAAGUAACCACGAAAAAUUACCGAAAUACCCCUAUAUGCCAAAGUAGACAUGUUGACCUACUGCUUGCUUUGGCAUGUAAACUCCCUCUUAUAAGUGGCAUGUAAAGUCCCUCUUAUGAGAUAGGUAUUAUAAAAUAUAAUAUAAGUAUACUCAGUUGACUUUUUUUGGAAAAGUGGAAUUUUGCAUCUCCCUUUUUUUUUCCUUCCUUCCCAUAGGGUAUAUGUAUACCUCAUUUUAUUCCUAUAUAUAGCAUAACCCUUUUGAAAUCUCAGCUAGGACAAAAGGAAGUUGUUUGGUUGGUAAGUACCCGUCGCUUCCAACCUUAAGAUUGUGAGUUCGAAUCACCAAGGAAGUAAAAAAGUGAAACCUCCUGGAAGGGCUAAAAAAAAGGUCUCAGCUCGGAUUUGCAAGGUAUCCCUUUGAAUCCAUAUCUCUUUGAAUUUGUUUGCACUUGUUGUUGUGUUUGUCAUUUAUGUAGGAAAACCUACAUAAAGUCUACUAGUUUAGGAGUUAAUUAUUUACAUACACUCUAGUUUGCAAUAUUACGAAUUUUACCAGAUUUUGGUGCGUCCAGAUUCAUACAUAACAGAUCUCUCGCCUACCUCCCAUCUCGCUCGCCACUCUCGUAUGUAUCUGUUAUCUUAAAUACAUGUGAAUCAUACUUCUCUCUCGCCACUCUCCUAUGUAUCUGUUAUCUUAUUCAUACAUACCAUAUCUCUCGCCUACCUCCCAUCUCGCUCGCCACUCUCCUAUGUAUUUGUUAUCUUAGAUACAUGUGAAUCAUACUUCUCACUCGCCACUCUCCUAUGUAUCCGUUAUCUUAGAUACAUGUGAAUCAUACACAGUAUAUACACACCUCCCCCUGCUCUCCUCUCUCCCUAUUUUAAUGUAUUUGGUAGCAAAAAUACAUGUAUCUAGAUGUUCUUCAAUAUACGGUAGGAAACUCUUAAUUAGUGGUAAGAUAUGUAAUAUUUUGAAAGUAUAGGUAAUACUAUAUGUGGUAGUGGAGUAUAUCUAAUUAUAUAGUUUCUCCUUUUAUGUAUAAAGACAGUACUAUAUACUAACUCUAUCUGGGCUCAUCAUGAUCAAUUAAUUAGAAUAUGCAUGAGACAGUUAGACUCAUUUGUCUUGUUAUUGAUUGGCAUUUUUAAAAAUCUGUUUUUUAGAUGGAUACGCAGAACGCGGAACAAUAUGGACAUGUAGUUGAGGUACAUGGUAAAAUCUGUGGUUCAGCACUGUGUGGAUUCUCAGAUGUUAAUACCAUGUCUAAGGAUGCACAGGAGAGAUCAGCAUCGAUGAAGAAACUGUGCGUUGCAGUUGUCCUUUGCAUCAUUUUUAUGGCUGUCGAGGUUGUCGGAGGUAUUAAAGCCAACAGUCUUGCAAUUUUGACAGAUGCAGCUCAUCUACUAUCAGAUGUUGCAGCUUUUGCAAUAUCCUUGUUUUCACUUUGGGCAUCAGGAUGGGAAGCUAAUCCACGCCAGUCGUAUGGUUUUUUCAGAAUUGAAAUACUUGGUGCAUUAGUUUCUAUCCAAAUGAUAUGGCUUCUAGCUGGUAUCCUUGUUUAUGAAGCCAUUGCUCGACUUAUACAUGAUACCGGUGAAGUUCAAGGCUUCCUCAUGUUUAUCGUGUCUGCAUUUGGAUUAGGAGUGAACCUCAUCAUGGCAUUCUUGUUAGGUCAUGAUCAUGACGUCCACGGCCAUAAUCACAAAGAGCAUGGUGAUGAUGAUCAUGAGCAUACACAUGAUAUACAUGGAAUAAGUGUUAGCCGACACCAUCACCAUAAUGAGGGACCUUCGAACCAAGCACAUAACGCUGAUCAUCACACUGCUGUUCCUCUACUUAAAGAUUCCUGUGAGAGUGAAGGUGAAAAGAAAAAGAAGCAGUGGAAUAUUAAUGUGCAGGGGGCUUAUCUUCAUGUACUAGGAGAUUGUAUUCAGAGCAUAGGGGUCAUGAUUGGAGGAGCUAUUAUAUGGUAUAAACCAGAGUGGAAAAUCAUUGAUCUAAUCUGCACACUCAUUUUCUCCGUCAUUGUUCUUGCCACAACUAUUAAGAUGAUUCGGAAUAUUCUUGAAGUAUUAAUGGAGAGCACACCUAGAGAAAUUGAUGCAACAAGGCUUGAGAAGGGGCUUUGUGAGAUGAAGGAGGUUGCUGCAAUCCAUGAAUUGCACAUUUGGGCGAUUACAGUCCGGAAAGUACUCUUGGCUUGUCAUGUCAAUAUUAAACCUGAUGCUGAUGCUGAUAUGGUGCUGGAUAAAGUGGUUGAUUAUAUUAGGAGGGAAUAUAACAUUAGCCAUGUAACUAUUCAAAUAGAAAGAGAGUAUUGAAAAUGUAAAAAUGACAAUAUGCAGAAUAAACUGGAAAAUACUGUAUCAUUCUUAAACAAGUUUCAAGAGAUAAAACUAUCAAACACCAGUAUAUAUAAGACAGUAAAAUAUUAUAAGUAUCUUACAUAAAACGAACACGCAUAAGUACGUACAUAUAAAGAACAAAACAGCAUGUGCAGACAUUAUAAGCAAAGACUGCAGCCAAGACAAAAAUAGAUCAUAGGAAAAAACGCCAGUUUCAUUGAUAGUACGGUAAUAACAUAAUACACAAGAACUUGUUGAUCCUUUUUUUCACCCUUGAUGCUAUCAAAUUCCCUAAGCUGGGCACAUAACUCAGUACUUACUAAUAUCUCUAUAUAAAUCCUCAAACACAUAUGAUUACACUUACUUCAUACAAAACCACAUUGCAUCACUAAAGAAAGAGGAGAGAGAAGAGAAUGGCCACUGUAGCAGCUGCAAUGAUGCUUCAGUGUGUCUUUGACGGAAGCUUGUCGAUGUCAGACAUGAAUAUCGAGAGACGACCUUACCAUAAAAACUGCAGUUGUGCAUUGCACAAGCAGAAAGGGGAUAAUCAAACCACUUGUGUCCACAGUAGGAAUGUAUCAUUCCCCAAAAGGCAAAACCAGAAAGAUAUGACUUUGUCAAUAACAGCUUCCCAAUUCUCUUCUCCAUCUUCUUCUUGCAAUAACUCAUUUGUCGCGAGUGUACAGCAUACAGCGCCACAGGGGAUAAUCAAACCACUUGUGUCCACAGUAGGAAUGUAUCAUUCCCCAAAAGGCAAAACCAGAAAGAUAUGACAUUGUCAAUAGCAGCUUCUCAAUUCUCUUCUCCAUCUUCUUCUUGCAAUAAUUCAUUCGUCACGAGUGUACAGCAUACAGCGCCGACUUUAGCAAGUAGUUGAAUGUACUGCUUUUCUUCUAUCACAUAGUAAAUUUUUCAAACCAAAUUUACCAGAACUUCUUGAUCUUCACUUUUCCUUUUUCUGUUUUAUUUUAUAUUUUACCUUCUUCUAUUUUUAUUUCCACUUAGGGUGAUGUAAUGUAACAGUCGAAACCACGUUACGAAUCCAUUUGGAUAUUUGAAACUAUUCUUGGAAAUGUGAAUUCAUUGUUAAGAACUUCUCUUGAAACUUUUCUUAAGAAUGAACAGUACUAUGUUCCAGUUUGUUAUUCAUAUAUUCAUUUUCUAUAAUCACACCACACUCAAAACAGAAAUCGUACAUUUACGUAAAGGCAAAGGAGAGAGAUAAAGAAGAACACUUGAGGAGACGAUAUCAGCAACUAAAACAUUAUUCUGAAAACGGAGAAACUGAUGAAAUGAAAAGUAAACAGAUCCGAUGAAAAAGAAAGAUGGUUUAGAGAAGUCUUACAAAGUAUGUGUGUACGUAUUUCGUUGUAUUUUGUGACAAACAAGGUAAGUACAGAAACAAACAUAAUAGUAGGCCAUUAUGACAUUACUCCCUUUGUCUUUACUAAAUGAGCUUAGUUUUAUAAUCUCAAUGGUCUAACAUGAUCCAUUAGUUUAACAUUUGUGUUGUACAAGGACUUGGUUUAGGUUAAAUAAUGAUUUUUUAAAUCAUGAUCAGCAGAACACGUAGCAACAACUUUACCAGUUACGUUAAAGAUAAAAGGAGCAUAGUUUAGUAUGAUUGACAUAACAUAUUGCAGGAAGAGAAAAAAAUACAUCACUUAUUUCAUUGAACAACUGUUGAACAGGAUCAUUCUCUCUGCAUCAAGCAUUUUUAUUUAGAACCAGCACAGUCAAAUGAGACAAUACAAGUCACACGAGGGUGUGACAACUUUCGAACUUGGAAAUGUUAAGUUUGUUUUAAUUCUCCGAUAAAACAAAAGUUCAUACGUCAAAUAAAACUUAUAAUACUAAGCCAUGCUAACUCGUUCAUUUGCCAGCCUCACAUAAUGGACUAAUAAAGAGCCUACAAGUGACAUAAUCACCGAGAAGCUUUUAACAUUAAAUUUUGUCAUAUCUUUAAUCAACUAUGCCUCAAUCAUCCUCGAGCUAUUAUCAAGUGAAUUUGACACAUUAAAUAGAGCUAGAUGAUGUGAGGUCAAAAAUAUAUAUUUUUAAUCAUUAUUUGCCUCACAUUAAUUAUUUAUAUAUGUCUUUUUUGAGCAUAAAUGUUAUGGAUUGUGCUAAAUAGUAUAUUUUAUUUGUAGGAGUAAAUUAGUGUGAAGUUGAAGAAGUUUGGAGCUUAAACGAAUUAAAGAUGAAAGAUUAUAGAAGAAAAUCAAGCAGUCAGUUUAAUAGAUUAAAUUCUGUAUAAAAUAUAAAGUUGCAAAGUUCAAUUGAAAAAGAGAAUCCUUCCCCGUGGCAGCAAUGGAAGACACCUUCAGAUUGUUUGAAGCAGCGGCUGAGGCGGUUACCGAAUACGCGUGGAAUUAGGAAAUUCAAAUUCUGUUUGGUUUUGAUUUUCUAGUUUAUUUUGGAAUCAAUUAUUUUAUUUAAGAUUUUCUACAUCUAUAAAUAGUUCACAGAAAUAAUUAUUAGAGGAGAUCAAUAAGGAGAAACUUUACAAGAAAAAGUUGUCAAUAUUUUUUAGGGUUAUUUUCUUUUUCUUUCUUUUCCUAGAGAUUAGUGGCGAAACACCCUUGUUCUGGGGCUGUAGCUACAAAUCGAAGGUUGAAUAUUUAAGGUUUAUGAAUUAAUUCUUGGUUGUCAUUAUAAGUUACUUCUAUAUUCUUGUUUUAGUAUUUUAUGCUUGCGCACCAUAAGAUAAAUCUAUUGUCUAAUCUUGAAAUUGAGAGAGGAGGGGUUAGAUAGACUAGAGAAUAUAGAGAGCUCGGUCGACCCAUUUGAUUGAGGUGAUUAGUGUUCAGGAGUGACACCCGGACGAACAACUUGCUUGGUUACGAAAUAAGAUGAAAUAUAAAUGUUCGUCAGUUAGUCUAUUUAUCCCCGCUUAACGAUAUAGUUAGAUAACUAACUGGAGUAGGCGAUGAGAGGUGUGUAGCCUGACUCAUACAAUUAAGCCUAUAAACCAGUAACUUGACAACUAAAAUUAGUUCUAAGCAAAGAAUAUGAUACAUGAGAUUCAUUGCAUGUUGCAUCCCUUGAAUUUGCCCAAUCACUGUAAGUAAUCUUAUUAUUUAAUUCCUACAUUCUUUUCUUUAUAAAUAAAAAGUCAAACUCUUUUAGCACUCUUAAAUAAACAAUUAGACUAGUAUAAUUUAGUAAAUAGUUAAUUGACAAGUCCUUUGGGUUCAAUAAUCUUUUUAAGAGCCACUAUGUUAUUUGCGCGACCACGUACACUUGCGUGUGCAAUUGGGAGCAAUAAGUUUUUGGCGCCACUGCCGGGGACUUAGAAAUUGAUUUAUAUUUAAUCUUCUUAAGUCUACAAAUAAAAUAUUCAGGUAUUAAUUACUUGAUCUUAGCUUGUAUAUUGCAAACAAUUGACUUUCAGGUCUGGCUAGGAAAGGAGAACUUGUCGAACCUUACAACGAACCCGAAAGAGUCUUACGCCAGCGCAGGAAAAUGGCUAAUCAAGGACGACAUGGAGAAUUGGGGUUAGGUCUUCAAGAAGACAAUGAGAACAAUAAUCAAGACAAUGUGAAUAACCCCGGGAACUUGAACAACUAAGCGGUAUCCCCUGUAGUACCUGCAAGACCAGUCCGUGAUGUGGCAGUCCCACUCACAGCCAAUGUGGCAUCUAGUAUUAGGAAACCUCCACUGGGGGUAGAUUUGAACUAAAACAGGGCAUGAUACAACUUCUCCAUUCUAAUGGGCAAUUCACUGAUCUCCCUCACGAGGAUCCUCAAAUCCACAUUAGGAACUUUAUCACUGACAUACAUCCCAACUGGAGUCUCAUCGGACUAUGUGAGGCUGACGUUGUUUCCAUACUCAUUGUUAGGAGCUGCAAAGCAUUAGUUAGAUACUGAACCACCAAACUCCAUCACUACCUGGGAUUACCUAGCAAGAAAGCUCUUGAGUCGAUUCUUUCCAUCCAAGAAAACUGCACGGUUGAGGAGAGAGAUAUUAUGCUUUAGGCAAAAUCAAGGGGAGGAAAUGUACCAAGCAUGGGCUCGUUUCAAACAAAUAUUGAAUGCUUGCCCGCACCACAUGCAAACUAGUGAGGUACUUGCUCACACUUUCUUUGAGGGUUUAGAUUAUAAUGCUCGUGUACUUUUUAAUAAUGCAGCAGGUGGACAGGCCCUAGCUAAAACAUGUGAAGAGUUGUUCGACUUACUCAACAGACUCUCCGAAGGGAACCCAGGAUAUGAGGGGGAAAUGCCGAGAACCACAACCCAAAAGGCCGCAGGGACCUUAGAUGUAGAUCAAGCUACUGCCAUAAAUGCCAAAUUAGAUGUUAUGCAACAUAACAUAGCCUUACAUUUUAAACAGAUGGCUCUAAAUGAUGCACCGGUAAACGUUGUGCAACACGCAGCCAAUUGGUGUGAGGUAUGUGUAGUGGAGCUCAUGAAAUCGAGCAAUGUGAGGUAAACCCGAAUUCCGUAAACUAUAUGGGUAAUGCGCAAAGGGGUGAAGGUCAGCAAAAUUAUAGUAACACCUACAACCCUAGUUGGAGGAACCAUCCUAACUUCUCAUGAGGUGGGAAUCAAAACCAAAAUCAGGCGCAAGGGGCUAACCAAUACCGUUCUCAAGGGGCUGGGCAACAAUACCAGAAUCCUAACCAAGGCGCAAAUCCUAGUGCACCAAAGGGGGGAUGACCAAUGAAGAGCUACUCCAAAAGCUCAUGACUAAAAUAGGGACCAAACUAAAUGCUAUAAUAGAUAAGCAGGAUGAGAACAUCAAAAACAUCCAAAUGUCCCAAAUGAGUUUAAAGAAACAAGUUGCGCAAGUAGCUAAUUCUCUGAACUUGCGUCCCCAAGGUGGGCUACUCAGUGAUACUGAACCCAACCCAAAGCAAUUGCAUGCGGUAAGUACUAGAAGUGGGUUACAAUUAGAGGAACAAGCUCUAAAGAAGAGAGAUACUGAGGCAAGUACCAAAGAAAAGAAAGUGGAAGAGGUAGUAAAAAGCUCCAAUGUUGAGGUACCCAUUCCUCAAAAGAAAUUACCACCUCCGUUUCCACAAAGGCUCAAAAAGAAGAAUGAUGAUGAAUGCUUAGGUAAGUUUCUCUCUCUCCUUAAACAGGUUCAUAUUAAUUUGCCUUUGGUUGACAUUUUGCACGGUAUCCCGAAGUAUGCUAAAUACAUGAAGGACAUUGUGGCUAGCAAGAGGAGGCUCACGGAGUAUGAAACUGUAGCACUUACUGAGGAGUGCAGCUCUAGAAUUUAAAAUAGACUACCCAAAAAGUUAAAAGAUCCAGGUAGUUUUACUGUGCAGAUUACAAUUGAGCAAAGUGUUCAUGCCUGCGGGUUGUGUAAUUUGGGGGCAAGUAUAAAUCUAAUGCCCUUAUCAUUAUAUCAAAAGCUUAGGUUGGGUAGUCCAAAACGAACCACUGUUAUUCUCCAACUCGCUAAUAGAUCCAUUGCUAGGCCAGAGGGGGUGGUAGAAGAUGUGUUAGUGCAAGUAGGUUCGUUGAUUUUUCCGGUGGAUUUUGUGGUCUUAGAUUUUGAAGCCGAUUCUGAAGUUCCAUUUAUUUUGGGACGUCCGUUCUUGGCCACGGGUAGGGCAUUGAUUGAUGUAGCAGCUGGUCAAUUAACUAUGAGGGCACAUGAUAAAGUAGAGAUAUUCGAUGUUUAUCGCGCUUUAAAAUUGCCUUCUAUCUAUGAAGAGUUGUCUGUUAUUACUGUGAUUGAUCACAUAGUAGAAUCACAAGUAGUUGUGCCUGAAGAUCCCUUAGAGAGAGUUUUAGUAGGUCAUGAGGUGGAUGGAGAUACUGAGGAUCAAGAGAUAGAAUCAUGUUUGAAUCUAGCACUUGUUGGCACUCGUAAGCUUCGAGCAGAGUCACUAGAUCGUAAGUUAGAACCCCCACCAAAGCCAUCAAUAGAAGAAGCGCCCAAGCUGGAACUAAAAACUUUGUCGUCUCACCUAAGGUAUGCUUAUUUGGGUGAAUGAAACUUUGCAUGUUAUACUUUCUGCAGAAUUGUCUGAAUUACAGGUUGAUGCGGCAUUGAGGAUCUUAAAGCGGAGAAAAGAAAGUGAUUGGAUGGCAGAUGGCUGAUAUUCAUGGGAUUAGUCCUGCGUUAUGUAUGCACAGAAUCUACAUGGAAAAUGAUCACAAACCAAGUGCACAACAUCAACGUCGGCUAAAUCCUUUGAUGAAAGAAGUGGUAAGAAAGGAAGUAAUAAAGUGGCUAGAUGCUGGAAUUGUGUACCCAAUCUCAUAUAGUAAGUGGAUAAGUCCCUUGCAAUGUGUUCCCAAGAAGGGAGGUAUGACAGUGGUAAGAAACGAAAAGAAUGAGUUGAUUCCUACUAAAACAGUGAUCGGUUAGAGAAGUUGUAUGGAUUACUAGAAACUUAAUGAUGCCACCCGAAAAGAUCACUACCCGGUUCCCUGCAUUGAUCAGAUGCUUGACCGACUAGCAGGGCAGGAGUACUAUUUUUUCUUAGAUGGGUAUUCCGAUUACAACCAGAUCUUGAUUGCACCCAAGGAUCAGGAAAAGACCACGUUCACUUGUCCUUAUGGUACCUAUGCUUUCAAACACAUACCAUUCGGACUUUGCAAUGCACCAACAACUUUUCAAAGGUGUAUGAUGGCCAUUUUUCAUGAUAUGGUAGAAAACUUUGUAGAGGUGUUCAUGGAUGAUUUCUCCGUCUUUGGAAAGUCUUUUGAGGUAUGUCUCCGGAAUCUUGAUAAAAUACUUGCUAGAUGUGAGGACACUAACUUAGUUUUAAAUUGGGAAAAGUGUCAUUUUUUUGUUAGAGAGGGGAUAGUGUUGGGUCACAAGGUGUCGAAGUCGGGUUUAGAGGUUGAUAAGGCCAAGGUAGAAUUUAUUGAAAAAUUGCCCCCUCCCAUUUCUAUAAAAGGGGUGCGUAAUUUUCUUGGUCAUGCAGGUUUCUACCGGCGAUUCAUCAAGGAUUUUUCCAAGAUUGCAAGACCUAUGCGCAGUCUUUUGGAGAAGGAGGUGAAGUUUGACUUUGAUGAGAUGUGCUUGAAAGCUUUUGAGAUAUUGAAGAGGAACUUAAUUGAGGCUCCCAUCUUAAUUGCUCCUGAUUGGGGACUACCAUUUGAACUCAUGUGUGAUGCAAGCGACAUAGCAGUGGGUGCAGUGUUGGGACAAAGAAAGAAUAAAGUGUUCCACUUGAUCUAUUAUGCAAGCAAGACCCUUGACUCUACACAAGCUAAUUACACAGUGACUGAGAAGGAGAUGCUAGCUUUAGUGUUCGCCUUCGACAAGUUCAGAUCAUAUUUGGUAGGUACUAAAGUGAUGUUUUACUGACCAUGCAGCUAUUAGGUACCUAUUCAACAAGAAGGAUGCUAAACCAAGGCUGAUUCGCAGAACGCGGAACAAUAUGGACAUGUAAUUGAGGUACAUGGUAAAAUCUGUGGUUCAGCACCGUGUGGAUUCUCAGAUGUUAAUACCAUGUCUAAGGAUGCACAGGAGAGAUCAGCAUCGAUGAGGAAACUGUGCGUUGCAGUUGUCCUUUGCAUCAUUUUUAUGGCUGUCGAGGUUGUCGGAGGUAUUAAAGCCAACAGUCUUGCAAUUUUGACAGAUGCAGCAGCUGAAUAAAAACUAUCAAACACCAGUAUAUAUAAGACAGUAAAAUAAUAAAAGUAUCUUACAUAAAACGAACACGCAGAAGUAAGUACAUAUAAAGAACAAAACAGCAUGUGCAGACAUAAUAAGCAAAAGACUGCAGCCAAGACAAAAACAGAUCAUAGGAAAAAACGCUAGUUUCAUUGAUAGUACGGUAAUAACAUGCACAAGAACUUGUUGAAUUCUAGAGAAUCCUUUUUUUCACCCUUGAUGCUAUCAAAUUCCCUAAGCUGGGCACAUAACUCAGUACUUACUACUAUCUCUAUAUAAAUCCUCAAACACAUAUACAGAAUUUUAAGAACGAUUAUACUUCAUACAAAACCACAUUGCAUCACUAAAGAAAGAGGAGAGAGAAGAGAAUGGCCACUGUAGCAGCUGCAAUGAUGCUUCAGUGUGUCUUUGACGGAAGCUUGUCGAUGUCAGACAUGAAUAUCGAGAGACGACCUUACCAUAAAAACUGCAGUUGUGCAUUGCACAAGCAGAAAGGGGAAAAUCCAACCACUUGUGUCCACAGUAGGUAUAUAUCAUUCCCCAAAAGGCAAAACCAGAAAGAUAUGACAUUGUCAAUAGCAGCUUCUCAAUUCUCUUCUCCAUCUUCUUCUUGCAAUAAUUCAUUCGUCACGAGUGUACAGCAUACAGCGCCGACUUUAGCAAGUAGUUGAAUGUACUGCUUUUCUUCUAUCACAUAGUAAAUUUUUCAAACCAAAUUUACCAGAACUUCUUGAUCUUCACUUUUCCUUUUUCUGUUUUAUUUUAUAUUUUACCUUCUUCUAUUUUUAUUUCCACUUAGGGUGAUGUAAUGUAACAGUCGAAACCACGUUACGAAUCCAUUUGGAUAUUUGAAACUAUUCUUGGAAAUGUGAAUUCAUUGUUAAGAACUUCUCUUGAAACUUUUCUUAAGAAUGAACAGUACUAUGUUCCAGUUUGUUAUUCAUAUAUUCAUUUUCUAUAAUCACACCACACUCAAAACAGAAAUCGUACAUUUACGUAAAGGCAAAGGAGAGAGAUAAAGAAGAACACUUGAGGAGACGAUAUCAGCAACUAAAACAUUAUUCUGAAAACGGAGAAACUGAUGAAAUGAAAAGUAAACAGAUCCGAUGAAAAAGAAAGAUGGUUUAGAGAAGUCUUACAAAGUAUGUGUGUACGUAUUUCGUUGUAUUUUGUGACAAACAAGAUAAGUACAGAAACAAACAUAAUAGUAGGCCAUUAUGACAUUAUUCCCUUUGUCUGUACUAAAUGAGCUUAGUUUUAUAAUCUCAAUGGUCUAACAUGAUCCAUUAGUUUAACAUUUGUGUUGUACAAGGACUUAGUUUCGUCUAAAAAGAUGCAUUAUUUUUAACAUUUAUGUUGUACGACGACUUAGUUUAGGUUAAAUAAUGAAUUUUUAAAUCAUGACCUGCAGAACACAUAGCAGCAACUUUACCGGUUACACUAAAAAUCCCCUUCCUGAGAUGGUAAAGCUAUGUCAACAUUUAGCAGAUGCACGGAAGUCUUAUCAUUCAGGGACAAUCAAACGGAGAAAAGGAGCAUAGUUUAGUACUAGCAGCAAUGUUCACCUUAAAAUAAAGGGAAAGGGGUCAAAAAUACCCCUCAACUUUGGUUUAUUGUUUGACUACGCCCUCGCCGUUAAAAUGAAGUUAUUUUUACCCCUCCCGUUACUAAUUUCACCAAAUUUACCCCUCAAUUGGAUGGAAAACCCAAAUCAAUUAAAAUUACCCAAUUUCAAUUAAAUAACCCAAUUUUUUCUCUUUUUAAUCCGAACCCGACCCAUUUAUACCAAAUUAAAACCCCAAAUCAAGCUCCGGCAAUCGCCAUUCAUUUUCUCCGUUUUCCGGCGAAACACCACCAAAACAACCUCCAAACGACCACCUGAAACCACCACUAAAAACCCCCAAGAACCAGAAACGACAUCAAGCAAAAAACAUUAACAACAAACCCAUUUUCCUCUACUUUCCAUUGACGACAACAAGAUCUUUCUUCUCCAUUUCCGGCCAGUUUCAAGCUGGAACAACAUUAAGCAAAUUACCCACCGUCGGAAUCAUUCAAACAGCCGUGAAACCGACCUGAAACAGCUCUCAAACACCACUCUCUCCACGCCAAAAUCNNNNNNNNNNNNNNNNNNNNNNNNNNNNNNNNNNNNNNNNNNNNNNNNNNNNNNNNNNNNNNNNNNNNNNNNNNNNNNNNNNNNNNNNNNNNNNNNNNNNNNNNNNNNNNNNNNNNNNNNNNNNNNNNNNNNNNNNNNNNNNNNNNNNNNNNNNNNNNNNNNNNNNNNNNNNNNNNNNNNNNNNNNNNNNNNNNNNNNNNNNNNNNNNNNNNNNNNNNNNNNNNNNNNNNNNNNNNNNNNNNNNNNNNNNNNNNNNNNNNNNNNNNNNNNNNNNNNNNNNNNNNNNNNNNNNNNNNNNNNNNNNNNNNNNNNNNNNNNNNNNNNNNNNNNNNNNNNNNNNNNNNNNNNNNNNNNNNNNNNNNNNNNNNNNNNNNNNNNNNNNNNNNNNNNNNNNNNNNNNNNNNNNNNNNNNNNNNNNNNNNNNNNNNNNNNNNNNNNNNNNNNNNNNNNNNNNNNNNNNNNNNNNNNNNNNNNNNNNNNNNNNNNNNNNNNNNNNNNNNNNNNNNNNNNNNNNNNNNNNNNNNNNNNNNNNNNNNNNNNNNNNNNNNNNNNNNNNNNNNNNNNNNNNNNNNNNNNNNNNNNNNNNNNNNNNNNNNNNNNNNNNNNNNNNNNNNNNNNNNNNNNNNNNNNNNNNNNNNNNNNNNNNNNNNNNNNNNNNNNNNCCAAAGUUGAGGGGUAUUUUUGACCCUUUUCCCUAAAAUAAAUCCGAUCUUGGAAGAAAAAAAUGCAUCAAACAUUUUUAUUUAGAACCAGCGAGCAGUCGAAUGAGACAAUACAGUCAUACAAGGGUAUGGCAACACUCAAUUUUCAAACUUUGCAAUGUUAAGUUUAUUUUAAUUCUCCGAUAAAAAAAAAGUUCAUAUGUCAAAUAAAACUUAUAAUACUAAGCCAGGCUAACUCGUUCAUUGCCCAGCCUUAAAAGUGGCACAUAAUGGACUAAUAAAGAGCCUACAAGUGACAUAAUUACCGAGAAGCUUAACACCACAAGAUUCAAAAGUCUUCUUUACUUUAAACUUCGUGUCAAGUCAAAACCAGGCAAACAAAUUGAAACGGAGGGAGCAUUAUAUUAAUUUGAAUAGUGAAUCUACUGAACAUGAGCAGAUGGGAAUUCCAAGGUCAACAGAGGCAACGUAUGACAAUUUGUUGGAGCAUUAUGUGGCACAAGCUGCUCAUAAAAUAACCUUUUUGCUGAUGAAAAUAGUACAAAAGAUGCACAUGCUGAGUCUCCUAUAAAUUGGUAUAAGUCUUCAUUAGAAUGAUCAGUAAUUUAAAAACAAUACUUAAUUCAAUACACCUAAAAGUGCAAAGAACAAAGUAGAAACAAAUAAUCAAGGAAGAGAACUCCUAGGAGAAAACACUUAUUUUGAGGGAAUCACAAGGGAACUACAAUAACAAGAACAGAUAACAAAUUUCUACCUAGACUAUUCCCUCCAUAUCAUAGUAAGGCUAGUGACUCCAUGAGAUUGUAUUCUAUAUAAACCCUUUGCAAAAAUAUGAAAAAAUGUUCAAAAUAACCACGUCGACAUCACAUGCACACACAUAGACAGUGAAAAACUCACCUCACUAUCCAAACACCUUUAGAAAGAAUAGAAUGGCCACUGGAGCAGCUGCAAUGAUGCUUCAGUGUGUCUUUGACGGAAGCUUGUCCAUGUCAGAUAUGGAUAUCGAGAGAUGACCUUGCCAUAAAAACUGCAGUUGUGCAUUGCACAAACAGAAGGGCCGGGGAUAUAUCACAGCCAAGCACUUGUGUCCAUAGUAGGAAUAUAUCAUUCCCCAAAAGGCAAAUCUGGAAAGAUAUGAUUUUGUCAAUAGAAACUCCCAAAUUCACUUCUCCAUCUUCAUCGUCUUGAGAUAAUUAAUCAGUUGGGAGUGUACAGCAUACAGCUCCAAUGUUAGCUAGUAGUUGAUAGAUUUUCCUUUGUACAUUCUGGUAAGUACAUGUAUACUUCAGUAUCCGCUUCAUAGGUGAUGCAAAUUUACAAAAGAAAGAAAUGCAACUUGUUUUCUUUCUUUCCAGGAUUCAAAAGAUUUUAACUUUAGCGAACACUGAGAAUGCAGCAUUUGAAUUCACAUUGUACACGUUCGUUAGUAGAAUUAGUUUUUGUUCACUAACAGAGUUUGUACACUGAUUCUAAACUUACCAUCACUUCAUCUUUCACAUUCUUUUCUUCUGUCCUGUUAGGCUCCCAUAGUCCCCGAAAUUAGUCCACUGGUUUGUUAUUUACACUUCUCUCAUCCUCAUUGUUUAACAAAUUCUGUUCCUCGUAGUCUAUUAAAUUUCGUUAUUUCACUAAGACAAAUGGUUUGUUCAUAGUUCAUUCUGCGUCAUCAGUAAAGUCAAAGGGAAUAAUGUCGGAAUGGCCUACUUCUAUGUCUUUUCUGAACUUACAUUGCCAUUCACAAUAUACAAGGAAAUACUUUGUAAGCCUUUUCUAAAUCAUCUGUCACUUUCACCAGAUCUGUUUACUACUCAUCCAAAUGGAUUUGUAACGUGUUUUCAACUGCUCUUUAAAUAUAUGCAAGGGUUAAUACCAAAAGCAUCCAAGAUAGAGAAAUCAAAAAAGCAACUCAGUGCACUAAGCUUCUACUGAGUAGGGUCACAGUCUUACCUUGCAUUUCUGCAAAGAGGUUAUCUCCACAGCUCGAACCCAUGACCUCACAUAGCAGUAACUUUACCAAUUACGCCAAGCUCCCCUUCUCAAGAUGGAAAAGCUAUGUCAAUAUUUGCACAAAAGUCUUAUCAUUCAGGGUCUACAGCCAUCAAUAAUGCAGUUGAACUUGUAUGGAAACCCCACCACUUGAAGGGCCAGAGAAGGUUUGUAAUUUUGGUAUAUUUUGUAUAUCUUUAGUUUAAGACCGCAAGAUUCAAAAGUCUUCUUUAAUUUCUUGAAUUUCGUGCCAAAUCAAAACCAGACAAACAAAUUGAAACGGAGGGAGUAUUACCUUAAUUUGAAAAGUGAAUCUACAGAAAUUGAGUAGAGGGAAUUCCAAGGUCAACACCAGCUCCACUUGCUUAUGAAAACAGUACAAAAGAAUCUGCACUUGCUGAGAUUCCUAUAAAUUUGUAUCAAGCUUGAUUAUAAUAAUCAGUAAUUUUGGAAUACUGAUAUACACAAUUGUUUAGCCUAUGCUUACUUUAAUCUUUUCAUUUAUCUUUCUUUUUUCGAGGGUAACUAACACAUCGAAGUACUAAGAACAAAAGCAUAUUAGAGAAGUUCCCAAAUGAAAAACAAUACUCAAUUCAAGACACCUACAAGUACAAAGUACAAAGUAGAAACCCGUAAUCAAGGAAGAGAACUCCUAGUAGAAUACACUUAUUUUGAGGAAAUCACAAGAGAACUACAAUAACAAGAACAUAUUAGUACUUCCAAAUUCAAGAUAUGAUUUUGUCAAUAGAAGCUUCCAAAUUCACAUCUUCAUUGUCUCGAGAUAACUAAUCAGUCAGGACUCAGGAGUGUAGUACAGCAUACAGCUCCAAUGUUAGCAAGUAGUUGAUAGAUUUUCCUUUGUACAUUCUGGUAAUACUUCAGUAUCCACUUCAUAGGUGUUGUAAAUUUACAAAAGAAAAAGGAAAUGCAACAAUUCUUACUCUUCAUGAUUUCUAUGAGCAAAUGCUCCUUAUUUUCUUACUUUACGUAAACACUGUGAAUACAGCAUUUGAAUUCUGAAAUUGAUCACAUUGUACACGUUCGUUAAGUAGAAUUAGUUUUAGUUCACGAACAGAGUUUGUACGCUGAUUCUAGACUUUUAUUUUCCCUUUGUAUCUGUUAAUAGGUAUAACUUGCUAUUUCCACUUCUCAUCCUCAUAGUCUAUCCUUCACCAAGACAAAUGGUUCGUUCAUAGUUCAUUCUGCUUCUUCUUUUCGUCAUUUUUUGUUACUAGUUUCUCUAUACUUUAACCAAUUUAAGAAUAAUUUACUACUGUUAAAACAAUGUAUCGCUUUACGUCUUUGAGAUUAUAAAACUAAGCUCAUUCAAUAAAGUCAAGGAGAAUAUCAGGAUGGCUUUUUUUUAAUGUAUAUUCUGUACAUCAAAUACAAGGAAAUACUUUGUAAUCUUUUUUUUAACACCAUCUGCCAGUUCCACUGGAUCAGUCCAAAAUUUCAUUUCAUCGGUUUCUCCAUCUCCAGAAAAGGCUUGAAUACUAAUAUUGUCUCCUCAGAUUUUCUCGUAAAUAUCUCUCCUUUAUGUUCUUCUGAUACCAUUUGUCAAAAUAUAUAUAUAUGUCAGAUUUGUGUUUGUGAGUGUGGUAAUAAUCGAAGGGGUGCUUUGACGUAGUUGGUAAAGUUGUUGUCAUGUGACCAGAAGUCUGUUGAAACAGGCUCUUGUAGAAAUGCAGGUAAGUCUGCAUACAAUUGACUCUUGUGGUUCAUCCCUGCCCUGCCCUGGACUCCGCGUAUAGCGGAAACUUAGUGCAUCGAGCUACCUUUUUUGGAUGUAAAAAUUCCAAAUGGGUUAAUACAUGUUCUCAACUUUUCUCCAAAAAUAUGAGAUUUAAUACCAGAAAACAGUCGAGAUGGGAAAGCCACGUCCAUAUUUAGCAUAUGCAAGAAAAAUUUAUGGAUCGAGAAUGUCAAACUGAGAAGAGAUGCAUAGUACUAACAGCAAUAUAUAUUCACCUAAAAAUAAUUCUGAUCGUGCAAACACAGAUUUCAGGUCAUUUAUGAGAAGAAACAAAGCAUUUCUCCAUUUAAGCAAAUAGACUUCUAGCCCGAAAUUAAGCAAAGUACAUGGAUCUUGGGAAGUUCUAACAUGCCUCGCGGAAUCCAUUUGAACGACUGGUUCAUCAUUCAUACGCUGCAUCAAGCAGUUUUAAAACAGAACCAGCAUAGUUGAAUGUGCAACAGAGUCACACAGAAACUACAGCUAGUUGAAAUAAUGGAAAUUUCAAUAUAUUUGUAUUUCUUUUUCCUCCCUUUUCAUCUUUUUUCAUUAAAGUCCGUGUUGUAUGUGCAUUUUGCAUUUAAAGCCCCAACAAACCUUAGAGCUUUUUUGCGCCUUUUGCUUUUGAUAACACUGUCAUUGAUAUGAAAGAGAGUAAUUGCUCAACUAUCUACUAACCUUCUACCUUAAUCCUCGACCUCCAUACUCUCCUAUUCAGGAUCAUGCCCUCGAUAUAGAUGAAGAUGUACUAGUAAUUUAAAAGAUCUUGAUACAUUCAAUUAUUAGUCUAUGAUAUAUGUUUCUUGUUUCUUAUUGUAAUUGACAUAUCCAGCUAUUAAGAACAAAAGUAGAUUAAAAUACUUCUUCCAAAAAAACUACUCAAGUCAAGACACGACUACGUAUGCAAAGUACAAAGUAGAAACCCAGAAAAACUAAGCUAACGAGAUCAAAUAUAGUAUUAAAAUGUUAAGAUUCUUUCUCUCUUGGUCCCGGAGGCAAGGAAGAGAACUCCAAGGAGAAAUCAAGUACUUCGAGGGAAUCGUUAGAGAAGUACAAUCACGCCAAUGCUAACCAGUUGCAUAAGACAAAUAAAGCAUGUAAGAUUUUCAGUCAUUCAAUUACAAGUAAGUACAUCAAAAAAUUAUUCCAAGACUGCAGGAUGGACAAAAGAAUCAUAGGAAAAAACGUCUGUUUCAUUGGUAAUAAGAUAACCAAAACAAACAGAAAACAGCCCGAUUUUUCACCUUGAUUCUACCAAAAUCCGCAAAGUUGGACAUUUAAAUUAAUGUUUGUUAGCUCUUAUAUAAGCCUUAUAAACAGACAAAGAAUUUCAAGAACAAUCAAACUUUACCUUUCAUAGUAGGGAAGAGGACGAUCGAGAGAGAUGAACAUGACUAGUGGAGCAGCUGAAAUGAUGGUUCAGUGUGUCGUCUUUGAUGGAAGCUUGUCGAUGUUAGACAUGGACAUCGAGAGGAGGCCUUAUCAUCGCAACUGCAGCUGUGCAUUGCAUCAAAAGAAGGCGAAACAACUAAAUACUUGCGUCCACGGUAGGAAUAUAUCACCUAAAAGGCAAAAACAGAAAGAUAUGACAUUGUCAAUAACAGCUUCCAAAUUCUCUUCUCCAUCUUAUUCUUCUUCCAAUAUUCACCAGUCCCAAAUGUACAGCAUAUAACUCCAUCUUUAGCAAAUAGUUGAUAGAUUUUCACUAAGUUGCUCGAACUCAUACUACUUUUGAAGGAUCCAACACGUACCUGAUGAUCACAUUUUUGAAGAGUCCGAGCAACAUAGGAUUUUCGAGCAUAGUCAACUCUCCGAUGGAUUGAGUAGUUUGUACUCUGGUAAGUUCAUGUAUACAUCAGUGGCAACUUCAUACUUACUAGAAACUUAAAAAACGAAAAAAUGUUUUUCCUCUUCAGGAUGUGUAUAUGAGCAAAUCUUCCAUUCAUUUUCUACUUCAGAAAAAUAAUGUACACUGCAGGGGCAGAGCCAGGUUGGGCCGAGGGGGUUUAUUUGCGAAAAAUUAUAUUGUUAAUAAAUGGUUAAAAUGAUAUCUUAUGCAUAUAUAGUAAAUGUUGAAACCUUUGACUUCUUCGUAUGUUUACUUCUUCAUAUUUUGAAUCGAAUUAAUAGAUAUUAUAAGUUGUACUAAAAUAUCAAAAAAGUAGUCCCCACCUAGUCUCUCUUUGUGUGGCCUGCACUCUCCACGUAAUCAAAUUUAUCUAAUCUUCUCAAACUCUCUAUUACUCUUCUCCACCACCAUGCACCGUCGUCAUCAUGGGCUGCUCCGCCACCCUCCUCCCUACUCCUCCUCAUCUCCGCCGUCACUCCACCUCCCCCUUCCCUCCUUCUCCCCACCUCAACCGCCGCAACCUCCUCUUCCUCUCCACUACUCUCACAUUUCCUUCAACCAUCUCCACCUCCGUCGCCGCCCCACCGCCGUCACCGGACACCACUAUCACCGAACGAGUCUUCUUAGACUUCAGUAUAUGUCCUAAUUACUUCACAAACAGGAAUCUCGGAGAUGAUCUCUCUAAUUGCGCUGAUUCUGAACCAAUUGGUCGACUUGUUCUAGGGCUUUACGGUAACCUAGUUCCGAUUACUGUGUCGAAUUUCAAAGCUAUGUGUACUGGUUCAUCUGGAUCGACUUAUAAGGGUACUUUGGUCCAGAAAAUAUUUCCGGGACAGUUUUUUAUGGCGGGGAGACAGGGGAGAAGAGAUAAAGGAGAAGUGAAACCGCCAUUGAAGUUAAUUAGGAAUGUAGAGUCAAUUGAAUCUAAAGCUUUUCUUUUGGAACAUUCUAGAGCUGGAGUUGUUUCAUUGCCUUUAUCUGAGAAUGAUGAUGAUGAUGAUCUUAAGCUGAAUCCAAAUUAUCAUAAUGUGGAGUUUUUGAUUACUACUGGACCUGGACCUUGUCCUCAGCUUGAUAGCAAGAAUAUUGUUUUUGGAACUGUUCUUGAAGGUGAGUUCUCAGAAUCUACAAAUCUAUCUCCUUUAGUUCAGUUUAACUUAUAUACAUUGAGGGCAAAGUCUGUCGGGAACAGCCUCUCUACCUCUGAGGUAGGGGUAAGGUCUGCGUACAAGAUAGGAGUAAGGUCCGCGUAAACUGUACAUUCCACAUUCCCAAGACACUAUUUUGUGUUGUACACUGAAGAUGUAAAUGAAUUUUAUCUAUUAGUCUAUUUGAAUGUGUUGUAGAAGGUAGCAUGCCUUAUAUUCGAAUUAGUUAUCUCGAUUGUUAUUGAAAAUUACCAUAGUUAUCUUAUAGGUGAUUGAGUUGUCAGUGUGUAGAAGUUAAAACACUUUAGUUAAUCCCAUUACAGUCCUCCACCUUAUAUUACACUGAAAAUGUAAUGAAUGUUUACAUAUUGGUCUAUUUUAACCUGUUGUAGAAGGUAGCAUGCCUUAUAUUCGAGUUAAUAAUUUCAAUUUUUAUGGAAAAUUAUUGUAGUUAUCUUUUAGGCGACCAUAGUGUAAAAGGUCUUUUAUAUUGUUAGUGUAAUAGAAGUUGAAAACUUUAGUUAAUCGCACUAUACUAUACUUUACCAACUGAGCUAACAUUGGGAGACUUAUACUCUUUUAGUUGGCACAUGCAUGUUUAGUGUAAAAGGGUGCUUCGCCGUAGUGUUUGUCAAUGUUGUGACAAAGUAAAUAUUUGCUUAAGAAAAUGUUAACUUGCUAGUCGAGAAGUGAUCUUUACAUUUAGAUAUUCGUAAGGUAAAAUGACGUGGUUCUCCAAUUGAUAGUACGAGUCAAUACCUCCAUGUGCCUAUCUACCCUACUAAAGAAGAUCGAUUUAAAGGUUAAAUAGAGGUAUAUUUGAUUGGAGAAAUAUGGAGGAACAAGGAAUACUUCUAGAGUUAUCAUUUUUAUUGAGUAAUGGGCCUAAUAAAACUGGAUGGAUAGAGUAUUCAUAUAUUUGUCCCCAAGUAAUCUAGAAUUUAGGCAUUGUUGAUUGAUCAUAUGGAUCUGAAAUAGUUCUAGACUAGAAUCAGUCUAUGACUUUGCUAUUGUGUCGUUCACUUUGAGGUCCUUUAUUACUUUAAUGAUAAUAAAAUUCAAAGCCGUUUUCUUUAGUAAAUAAUUUAUUUUUAAGCAAAACCUCACCUAUCAUCCCGAUGUAUCAAAUUUUGCUCAUUGUAUCUUUUGGUUAAGUGAUUAAAGACUUCACUUUUAACGGUUCAAUCAAAAGAAGUACUCCCUCGGUUUCACUUUGCUUGUCUCCCUCGGUUUCAAUUUGUUUGUACUUUCGUUUUAAGUACGUUUCAAAAAGAUCAAUGUCUUUUUACUUUUUUGGCAACUCUUUAGUUUGAACUUUCCACCUGGCAUGUUUAAGACUACAAAAUGAAACAAUAUUUCGGUACAUUCUACAUAUCUUUAGUUUAAGACUGCAAGGUUCAAAAGUCUUCUUUACUUUCUUAAAUUCCUUGUCAAGUCAAAACCAGACAAACAAAAUAAAGCGGAUGAAGUAUUAUAAUAGAUGUCCAAGGCACUGAAAUCCUUGGGCUAUCUCAAACUUUGUUGUCUGUAUGGAUUUUUUCCAUCUCCUAUCCUUUUAAUCAUCAUUUCUGCUGCUCAAACCAAUAACAGAGGCACCUCAGUCUUUUGGAAACAGCUGUAAGGUCUGGGUACACUAUGUUGUUGGUGUUGUUGGACCAAACUUCUAUUAACCACCUAAGACAAUAUGCCAGAUACGUAAACUUGAAACUGAUUCAAGCAGAUAGGGACAAAUGAUGACCAAAAAUUUCAGUGAAUGGCAUGUCAGUGAAAUGUUUGCAAGUUCCGAUUUUGCUGUUAGCUACUAAAAAAAUUGACAAAAAUCACAGAGGGAUAACAUGUCUCAACAUUGACUCUACCAAACAUGGCAACCUAGGUAAUGAAAAAUAGUAGGAAAAUAAAAAAUUUAGUCAACUACAGGUCGUUCCUAGCAGUUGUUAGAUUGAAAGAAAAGGGUAGGUUCACUCAUGACUAAGUAGGCAAAGUAUAUAGAUAUACCUAGGAGUAUGAAAAUGGAAGGGGAAAUGUAAUAUCUUUCUAAUCUCAGCUCGAAGCGGUAGCUAAAUGAAGAAUAACUAAAAGGAGAGAAUUCUUUCUGGAACUUAAAUUUAAACAGAUGAAAGGAAAGGACAUUAUGGGCUAGUAUGGGACUGGAAAGUUGAGAAAUAAAGGCUUUAGGAACAAAGGGAGUAAAUGAAGAAAUGCAGAAAAAGAGAGGAAUGAGCUGAAAAUUGAAGAAGCAGGGAAUGACAGUAGAGAAUAAUAGGAGCAAGAAGGGACGAUUACAGGAGUGGAAGGUGGGGAAGGAAGAAAGAGAAAUCUGGCAAAAUUUUGCAUUUUCUUUAUUGAUUCUAAAUCGAUAUGUAUACAUCUCUAGCAAAGAGUAUGCUUAUAGCAUUUAACUUUUAUACACCGAUAGAAGAAGGAAUUUCUAAAUGUGCAGCUUUCUUAAAAAUCAAAUACAAGUAAAAUUGUCCAUAGUAUGUUUUUAGAUUGGAUAUCUGGAUAAAAGGGUAAGUAACCUUCUAUAAUCAAUUUUUUAUUUUUUUAAUAAAGGACCUUCUAUGAUCAAUUUUAAACUAAACUAAUAGUAGUACGUUUUUGUCAGUGUAAUAUUAAUAUAAUUCAAUUCAUGCUUAUAUGGGGUGAGACGUGUGCAUAAUGACUUUCUUUGGUUGCUGGUCACAGCGCUGCAUUAGAUGCUGAUUGACUUGCAGAAGAUCAAUACACUAUAUCAUGUAGCGCCAGUUAAAUAGCCGGCUUUUAGUGAGUUGAUCAACACUGUAAGAGAAGUUUAAGUUUACCUCGACUUUUCAAGUCUCCUGCACUAUUUGGCUCACAGUAAGACACUUGUGGGUGCUUAGGCUUGUGUGAUAGGAUCCAGAGUGAACUUGUUAUGUGCAAUUAGGACUUAUUAGAUAAAUGUUGUUUCAAGUUAAACAUUAACCUGCUGCUUAAUAUGGGAUGUGUUCUACCAGGUCAAAAUAGGUAAAGAAAUUGAAGGAACAAACAUGAUGCCAACAAAUGCAUAAAUCGAGAUGGUUCUUUCCCAAUAGUUAAGGCAAACAGAACUUUUAUGGAGUCGGUUUGAAAAUUAUAUAGUACUAACACCGACUGAGAAGACUUUACCUACUGGCUACAGCAUAGAACAAAUAUUGCUGAGUGAUUUUGAGGCCUGGUGAUAUUAGAAGUUGCUCACACACCAUCUUAAUUAGUCAAUUCACCUAUCUGUUUCUUUGUGUUGCUCUGUUGUUUUGCAGUAGAUAUUGCUAUGGCUGGUGUAUAAUUGUCAGUUUUAGACAGGGAUCAAGUCUUGCUCUCUAUUAUUUAGUCAACCGUAUUGUAGAGAAAAGUAGGACGAGAAACUAGGCAAAUUCUUGUUAAAUAAAGACUAAUGUAAAAGGUAGUUGUCUGAACAUGCUGUGAUGUGGGCUCAAUUCACAUCUGUGAACAGUGGAAAGCUAUGCUUUCAACUUAGUUUUCGCAAGGCUUCAAUGAGCGAAACAAGAGUAGAGAGUCUGCCUAGUGGAAGGACCCUUCACAGCUUCACCUCCAACUAAGGCUUGGAGUUUGAGUCUCCAUGAAGGAAAAGAAGGAAAAGAAGACUGUUCGCCCCCGGGAAGGGGAGUAUGAAGAUGGGACUCCAUAUAAAAAUAAAACUAACGAAGACCUUAUCGGAUGGUAUAAAACGACUCUAUGCUCGAGAAGGAAGAAACAAAAGAAAACGAAAAUGAUUAGUUCCUUGCUGGAUAUAUGUGCAGCGAAAGCACUGCAAUACUAGAAGUGACAUGCCACUACUUGUGUACACUAUUACAUUUUUCUGCAUAGUUACUAACAUGAAACUUACAUGCUGAAACAGUAUCCGUCUGUUACGUCAAAAGCUCACUUUUUUUGCCUUUUCUUGGAGUGUACUGCAGGUUUGGAUAUUGUGACAACCAUAGCUGCCAUUCCCACUUAUAAACCAUCCGAAAACAUUCGACAAUAUAAUGAUUUUGCUGAGCUUAUUGGAGAUGGGAGAGCAAAAACUGCUCGCGCAAUCUGGAAUAAGCCACUCAAGACUGUUUAUAUCAGUGAUUGUGGAGAACUCAAAGUAGCAAAGCCUACACUUUCUCCUAGCCUACCUUGAUCUGUUCAGGUUCCUUAUUUUAUUUCCAUAUCCACAUUGUUACCAUGACUUGUAAAGGUUUCUCUUUUCUGUAUGUUACAUUGACAGAAGAGGAUUUACAUAAUGCAGAGCUUUUAAGUUGAGAAGUCCAUAUUUGUUCAGGGUAAUUUUGGCAGUCAAAAUUAGAAAGAGGGAUAAUGGGCUUUCUUUUAACACACACACACAUGUAGUCGUUUUGCCACCUAUUAAGAAAAUAGGUACGUGCUGCUAGUGGGAGGUGGCAAGUAUCCCAUGGAAUUAGUCAAGGUGCGCGGAAGCUGGCCUGGACACCACAGUCAUAAAAAAAAAGGUCCCAAAAAAUGGUCAGUGUCUCAUCAACUUAUACCAGCUACCAUGCAAGAACCAAUAGAAAGGAUUUCAACGCCCCACCCUAGAAAAGAAGUAGAACACACAAUCACCUACAACCUUUCUUCACCAAGCGACAUCGUCAUCACCUACAACCUUCCUUCAACAAGUAACAUCAUCGUGUGCUCCACUUUUGUUACCCUCAUAUAUACAUGGUGGGGAGAGGAGAGUAGUCAGAGUGAGUAUGUGCCAUUAAAGUGAGUUUAUCCUUCUCAAUGUCCAUUUGGGCUUUAUGGUAAUGGACCAAACCAUGGAGAUAGUUCUACUCAUCUAAUGAAUAGAUGCAGGCCCAAGCCCUUGACAAGACAUUACCAAAAACCUACAAUUUUCACUUUCAUAAACUCCCAAAAAAUGAGAGAUAAAGUUGGAUAUUCUAAGAUAUUAAUAAAUAAAAAAGGGUUUUAAGUAUCAGGCUUAUACCAUUACGCUCACAAGUAGAAUAUUAGCUUGAUCCUACCUUCAUACACUUAUAAUAGCAUAUUAGCUAAUGUCUAUCACAUGUACGAUUUAUAUAACAUAAACUCGAAAAAUUAAUUAAGAAAACAAUAGGAAAGAGGAAAAACAAAGCAAGCUCCCUACCCUACACUAUUAGAAAAAAGUUAAAUGAGGUAAGCCAAUAGAAAAAGCAUCUAAAUUUCAAGUUGACAAAGUCAACUACACUGCUCCUAAGAUUCAUAGAUUUUUAUAUUUUUCAUAUUUUUGGCCAAAAGCAAAUUCUUUUCUCACACGUAAUUGACCAAUGAACAAAAAUAAAAGUCCAAAUUCCAUUUUUCUUCCACACAAAAACAUUGUGGUUCAACACAUUACACCACAUCUUGUGUUCCAAAAAUUUGACUCACUCUAACAACAUAUAGUAAUCAUUUCAUAAAUUAUCACUCAACUUUAACUUUACAACACUAAAGCCUAUUUCUAUUAUACGAAAAAUCACUCAACUUUACCUAGUCCAUUACAAAAAAGUCACUCGAGCUUAUUUAAACAAUACGAAAAGUCACUCGGAGAAACCAAAUGUGAUUUUCUUUUAGUAACUUUGAUAUAGUAAAAGUAAAAGUUAAGUGACCUACUCCCACAUAAUCCUUAAAAAAAAAAAAAAAAAAAAAAAAAAAAAGGUAGUAGUAUAAGUAGUAGAUGCCAAUUUUUUUCUUCAUUUUGCAAAAUAAGCUAAUUUGGAGAGAAUGAAUAAUGUAUCCAAGGUUGUAAACAAACAAAUGAUCCAUUCAAGAAAGUAGUAGUUGUUGAAGUCAUUUCAAAAAGAAAUUUAAUGAGGAAAUUUCCUAUUACACAAAAUCAUGCUUGAUUGGGUGGGGUGGUGGGGUGGUCCAUAGAGGUAAAAAGAUGUCUCAUGAUGAUCAUGAUAAAGGGAUAAGAUUUCACAAGUACAACAAAAAGGGGACCACUGACACUUGCCUAUACCAAAGCCUAAAUUGAAAAGAAGAAAAGAAAGAGAGGUCCCCAAAAGGCAAAUCCCUAUUUGUGUAGACAAGCAAUAAGAGAGAAGGACCACAACCCCAAGAAUCAAGCAGCAUGCCUUCAACUUGGUCAUCAAUCAUCUCAACCUGUCUCAUCACUAAACUAUUCCUUUUUUUUUUGGUUUCCCUUCUAAUAAUCGAUAUUCGUUUUAGGGUCUCGAUUAAUAUAAAAUCAUGUCGUGUAAGGUUAAUUAGAAGAGGAAGUGCUCUCUACGAUCAUAAUUUAUUGGGGAACUUAUGGAAAUCUGAUACAUUUGGGGGCUAAUUACAUUCUAUUUCAAAAGUUUCCUCAAUUACAAUUUUUUUGGAUUUUUCAUUGCUCUUGGAUACAUUCUUUUGUUGUCCAAUACAUUGCAAAUGACACAUUACUGAUGUAUUCGAGAAGGGAAGGAUGUAUCCGAGAGGAGAUAGGGAUGUAUUCGAGAAGGGAUAGGGGUGCAUCUGAAAGGGAGGGAUGUAUCCAAGAGCGGAUAAAGAUGUAUCUGAGAGGAGAUUUUUGUAAUAUUUUUAAAUAAUAGAAAAGUUCUAGAGAAUCUGAUAUCUUAAGUUGUGUAUUUAUGUAAAUGUUCUUAAAAAAAAUUCAUUAAUACGGCUCGAACUUGAAAUCUUUAAGGCAUAAUACAUAAACAUGACCCUUAACUUGGCUUCAGCGGAAACUAUGCCCUCCAACUUUAAAUGUGCACAAGUGGACACUUAAAUUUGUAUAAAAUUGAACAAGUAGACACAUGUGUCCUACCUUCCAUAAUACACGUAGGACAUAAAAUUGUAAUGUAGGACGAAUGUCUCUAUUUGUUCAUUUUUAUACAAGUUUAAAUGUUUACUUGUGCACACCCAAAAUUAAAAGUCAUAAUUGCCAGUUGACGCCAAAUUAAGGGUCAUAUUUAUAUAUUAUGACAAAUUUUUAAUUAAGGAUGGAUGGAAGAUAUCAUAUCCACCCAACCACAAUCUUCAAUUCAAGUUCUAGAUAUACAUGUGAAAAAUAAAUUAAAUAGGAUUAGAUAUGCAUUUUAAUUCAAUUCGGAAUUCAUAAAGUUUGACGGUUACAAAUCAUGCAUAAGAUAUACAUGUUUAUAGUUCAUUAAAACUAAAGAAUCACUCUUGGCUUCAACUUAGUCAUGAAUAAUGCUUUAAAACGCGAUGUAUCAUGUCAGCAACGUGUGUUUAAUAGGCAAAAUUUGACUCGUACGUAUUUAGAUCUUAAUUGAACUACCUAAAUAAAAAAUCGUAACUUUAAAUAAUCGUAUAUAUAAUCCAAAUUUUAUAUGAGAAAAAUAAGUAUUCAUAAAAUUCAAAAUUCAUCGAGUCUAAAUUAUGAAUUCCACUAUAUUUAACCCCACAUAUACACAAAUUUUGAUAUUUUAUUUUAUUUUUUAAAAAUCUUGGCACAUUUGUACGUUGGUGAUAUGAUGGAUGUUUCAAAGGGGACCAGGACCACUGACGUUUAGCCAAUUUUGUGUCUGUUUUUUAAGGCUUCUAUUGUAUAGCUUUGGGAUGCCAAAGUGACACAUAUUUUGUGUUUUGAGCUUUGGAUAUAUAAUAAUGGAAGCUAUAAUUAAAGGAUUUGAAUUUAGUGACGGAAAUAGAUUUUGAAUAUAAACUAAUGGAAGUUAUAAUUGAAGGGUUCGUGUUUAGUGGCAAAGAUAAAGGUUUUGGAUAAGUGUUAAAUAGCGCCGUUUAGUGGCGUGCAGGGAGUAGUUGUCUUGUUGCUAGUAGGUGCGACUAUGUGAGUUGACAACAAUACACCGUGUUAAGUUAAAUUGUUUGAGUUAUACUGACGGAGAUAAGAUUUUGGGUGUAAAAUAAUUAAAGCUAUAAUUGAAGAGCUUGAGUUUAGUGAUGGAGACAAGAUUUUGGAUAUAAAAUAAUGAAAGUUAUAAUUGAUCAAAGGCUCAAGUUUAUUGUUGGAGAUAUAUUUUCGAUAUAGAGUAAUAGAAGCUAUAAUUGAAGGUUCGUAUUUAGCGGCAGAGACAAAAUUUUGAAUAUAAAAUAAUUGAAGGGUGAAGAGAAGAUUUUGGAUUAUAUAAUAAUUUAAGCUAUAAUUGAAAGUUUCGAGUUUAGUGAUUGAGACAAAAAAAAAUUAAAGAAGUUUGAUAUGUAUUAUGUAUAUACAUUUUUAAAAAAUGAUCUUAUAUAUAGAAUGCAUUUAUUUUUAUGAAGAAGGUUUAGAUGUUCCCAUCUAGUUCCGCCUCCUAUUCGAGUUUAGGAUAUCGAUAAGAUAUUAGAAAAAAACAUUUUACCUUCUUGUAAAUUUUAUGUAUUUGAAUAGCUUAAGCCUGAUAUCAAAUACGAAAUGAAAAUAAAAAAUUAAAAAGUUGUGAACUAUAAAAUGAUGGUAAAAAAUACGAAUAAUCACUUUUUUUUUUGUAAGUUUCACAAAUUAAUUAUCAAUUAUUUCAUUUUCCUACUGAACUAUCAGCGGUUGUUCCAUUUUUUUAAUUUGGACUAUCAUCAUUGUGUAUUAAAACACAACUAGUUGAGUAGAUAUUAACCAUUCACGUAAAAAUAAAAAGAACAAGAGAUAGUUGAAGGGUAAAACUUAUGAAAAUAUGACCCUUCGGGGUGGCCCAGUGGUUUGAGCUUGGGACUUUCAUGUUGGAGGUCUCAAGUUCGAAACCCCUUUGCCAGCGAAAGCAAGGGGUUUGCCUUCUGGGUUGAGCUCGUCGCACCAGGCUUGCCUAGUGCGGUUUACCUCUCCUAUGUGGUUUGCGAGCUAUUGCAUAGGAGCGGGGAUUUUACCCUGUGCACACUCAAAGGGUAGCGGCUACGGGUUUCCCUUGUCAUCAAAAUUUAUAAAAAAAAAAAAAACUUAUGAAAAUAUGAUCGUUAAUAAUUAACACAAAUAUAUAUUUUUUCUUAAAAACUAAUAUUUAUUUAUGAUGCUGAGCGAUGAACAUCUAUUGAUUAUUGAACAACUAGCACUAGGUAAUUAAUAAUAUUAAUAUUACAAAGAUCAUCUCAUUUUAGAAUAAUUAAGUGAAACUAAUCACAAUUAGAAACGUUAACCUUCAAAAGAACCAAAAAGGCAUGCCACGAUACCUGUUUUGUAAUUUAAUAUGUAUGAUUAGCCACUGAUGUAGGUCCUAAUCCUAAUUAAUUAACUAAUUAAUAUUUUCACUGUAUUUACGUUCUUUUUUUUUUUAAUGACGAUGACGUUAUCCUAAAAAGGAAAAUAACAUAAAAUAUCUCAACAUAAUCUAUCAAGUUGCCAAUUGUGGGAUUGAUAGAGAUUGCAAAUCUAUUUUAGUUUAAAUUAAAUCCCAACUCAUUGCACUUAUAAUGUUAAUUAAUUAAUAGUAGAAAGAAUAUUAUUUUUACUCCCUUGAUUAAUAAUAUAUUUUAUUUUGGUCCUUAUUAAUAGACUCAAAAUAUUUAACCUUUAAUUAAUUAAUAUGUGUAUCUUUCGUCAGUUUAUAUAUAUAUAUUAUUUAAAUACCAGUUGAUUGCAAUUAUAAUGUUAAUUAAUUAAUAAGAAGAAUAUCACUUUUUGGUCCCUUGAUUUUCGGUAAUUUAAUUUCGUGGAAGAAGAAGAAGCGGUUCACCAGCCACUACAUCUGUAGAUCCCAUCAAAUCAUUAAACCUAGCGGCUGCUCGCUCUUUGAUCAGUGAUUCACAAUAAUAGACUCAACAUAUUUAACAUUUAAUUUGAUCAAUCAGUAUGUGUACCUUUCAUUCAGGGGUGGAGCCUUCAUACGGUUAGGGAACCUUUGGCGGAAAAUGUUACUAUAUAAUUUUAUGUAUAUAUAAUAGAUGUCGAAUUUCCUUCGAUUAGUUCGUGUGUUUACUUCUUCAGAUUUUGAACAUCCUUAUUAAAAAUUCUAGUUCUGCUAUUGUUGUCAUCCGUUUAUAUAUGAAAUAUGUUAUUUGAAAUAAUCAAGAAGUAUAUUACCCUCAAAUAUGAAGUAAUAGUACAAAUUUAAAAUAACACAUAGAUAAUUAAAUGAUGAAACUGUUAAUUUUUUCUGAAAAUUUGUAAAUAAUGGAUCAAAAGUAUACAUUUCAAGUAGCGGACGGUUAAAUGUGCUUACUCAAAUAAUAUAGAAAUUAAAAUCAGACUUUAUCAAUAAUUGAGGAAUCAAAGUGUCACUAGGAAAAAAUUAAAAUUAGCUAUGAAUUUCGUUGUUAUUUUGUCUCUAAAUUUGUGAGAAUUCUUAAGCAAGUUGAUCAGAAAGGUACAUUUUAAGUAGUUGAAGAUGAAAUAUACUUGAUCAACUUAACACACAACGAUCAAAAUUACACAUUAUCAACAAUCGAGGGACUGCAGUAUCACUAUAAAAAAGAUUAAAUUAGUUAUGAAGUUCGUCUUUGUUCUGUUGCUAAAUAAUUCAUAGCUAAUAUAAUAUUUAAAUAAUUUAUCUUUCAUUCGUCAUAAAUUGUAUUAGCGAUAAAUUUUACUGAUUAUAAAAUUUAUCUGUCGCUAAUUUCUAUUUUUCUACUAAUAGGUUGCAAUUAUCUCUUAAUAGUACUAACAAAAGGGCUUAGUUGAAACUUGAAACUAAUAAAUGUGUUAUUAUCAGUCUUUUGUCAUGUAGUUGAAUUAAUCUUUUUUUUAUUAUAUACUUUUCAUAUUUUUAUAAUAUGUUAUUCUGAUGAAUAUUUUUGGUAUGAAACAAUGAUUAAUCACACAGAAUCCUUAUGAUUUUUUGUCAUAAGAAACAUAGGACAGGAUGAGACAAUGUUAACUGAUUCCACACACAUCAUGUUUUUACUUUAUAUGAGUGGAUAAUGCAUUGCUAAUUAAUUAUUAGUACUAAUUAAACAAGAUGAUAAUGCUUGAUUAUUUUUUAAACAUUUUCUUGGAUCACCUUUACAUACACACAAAUCCCAAUUAAUCAACUUUUUAAGCCCUAAUUAGGAUCAAUUACUAACACCUCCCCUCCUUUUUCAUCCACCUUUCAAAUUCACAUUUUCCAAGCGACCUAACUUCUUUUAAAAUUGAUUUCGAUCGGUCUCAAUUGCAAGCAUGAAGGAAUGAAAUCGAUCCAUUUUUCUAGCGACCUAACUCUCUUGUGUGCGUGCAAGCCUAAGCUAUUUUCGUGCUCUUUACUACUUCACUAAAAAUACAAGAUCCUUAAAAAAUAAAAAGAAAUAACUUAUUUUUUCUUAAUCAAUAAAGUAUACUCCCUUUAAAAUACCAACUAAUUUCUUCCAAUAUUGACUUCAACAUGUCUCACAUCUAUCUCGCGCUCGUGAAAGAGUAAGAUCCACCCUUUUUACCUAGCGACCUAACUCUUUUGUGCGCAUCCAAGUCUAAGCCAUUUUUUAUAUAAUACGAGUACACCAAAAAUACAAAUUCCUUACAAAAUAAAAUAAUAGUAGUACUUUUUUUUUUAUUAAAUCAAUAAGAGACACACGCUUGAGAUACAAACUUAUUUCUUUCAAUUUUGACUACCACGUUUUGAAUGUCUUAUAAUUAAUUAAUAUGGAAAUGACAAGAUAAUAAUAGUGGUUGUUAGGAGAUAUAAAUCAAUAAAUCAUUUAGAAGACAAUGAGAGACUAAUACGUGACAUUGUCAAUGCAUCCAAAACUCUCCAAUUCCAUAUAAUUGUAUUUAAUUUGAGAAAAAAUAAUCAUUUUACUCACUGAAUUAUUAAUUUUUUAUUUUCUAUUUUUGAUCCUUGUGCUCUUCAAUUAAUCAUGUUUAACUCUCGACCAAUAUAAUUGCAUAUGUAAUGCCCAUAGACAAAAUAGAGAACCCCACAUUAGGUGGGGGUGGGGGAUGGGGUUAAGAGUGGGUGAUAAUUAGGUGUGUGGGAGGGUGGAGAGGAUACGAUCAACGUGGAACGUCAUUUGUGAAACUUAUUUUCUCUGUUUCCAUUAUGAAAGUCAUUUUCUAAAUUUGUAAGGAACUUUUUUUUUUCUAGAGAAAACGUUUUCCUAAAAAGUUGAUCAACCAAAAUAUGAGAAAGGUGAGUUGUGACAUAAUUAAUAAUUAAUCGACACUACUUACAAAAUAUCGUAUGCAUAUUUUCAAAUUAUUAGUUGUAAGCAUUCUUUAGACCUUGAAAUUUUAUGGAACUCUACAAGGUGUGUUGGGAUUUCAAUUAGGAUUCUAGGAGGCUAUUCAACUCUAAACUCUAGUUUAUGUCUAUAUAAAUGGUACUAUAUCCCCUUGAAGAUGUAUCUCAAAUAUUCUGUAAAUUCUUUAAAUAUUUAUAGGGAGAUCAAUCAAAAUCAUCUUAGUUCGAGAAAAUACGUCACAAACGACUCUCGAAUCAUGGAUAAAUCUUAUGAAAAAAGAAAUCAUGGAUAAAUCGUAUGAGAAAUAAUCAAGGAAUCAACAAAUUUGUACUCACAAUCUUGAUGAAUAAAAUUGUUUCUUCAUAUUUUAUUUGUAAUUGCAACUUAUUUUUUGUCACUCUAAAAUUUAUUGAAAACACAUACAAAUUCUCUUUCAACAUAUUAAAACCUUGAAAUCUAAAUUCACAUCAACAAUUUUUUUUUAUCUUUGCUCUCCUAUUUGAAUAUCUCCAUUCUUAAAAAACCCAAAAAAAAAAAAGAGUCCAUUUUAGUAGUAGCACUUUAUUUAAUAGUAAUAAAAAAGAAUAUAUGGAGCUUUCAAAGUACAAUAAAUAAUAAAAUAUUUGGUGUCACUGUGUCAGUGAAUAUUGAUUUUGUCUUGUGUCACCAAAAAUGAAUUAGACAUGAAUGUGUGUGUAUAUAUAUAUAUAUACACUCCAUUUAUAUAUAAAUAUAUAUAUUUGUGUCCCCUAAAGUGGCAGUAGCUUGAGCUAUACUAGUAAUAUUUUUAGAUGAGGAAUUCUUUUUGAUUGUUACGUUUGAUGGAAAACAAUAGAAAAGAGAAAUGAAAAAGAAAAGUAGUACUCUCUCCGUCCUAAUUUAUGUAACAGCAUUUGAUUAAUAUCAUCUUAUUAAGUAUAAUAUUAGAAAAAAAAAGAAGUUAAAUUGUUAUCUUUGUCAUGAACCAAUCUCAUAUUGGUGAAAAUAUGUCAAGGGGUAAAGCAUGUUUUGGUGUCACACACUUCUCGUUCGAGGUUUCAACAAAUGCUAUGAAGCUUGACAAUAGAUAUGUACGUCCUUUUGUCUUUGGUAUAUACUAUAUAGUAUGCAUCGAGAUCAUUAUGAAAUUCACUUAAAAUAUCACGUUACACUUAUUCUUCAAAAGUUUUAAAAGUUUUUCGUGACUCGCUCAUUGGAUUGUCCUUCUUCAAAGACAUCACAAUCUCGCACUUAAAUAAGAAAUUAUUAUUUCACACUUUGAUCCAAAAAAAAAAACAAUCUAUAUUGGUGUUGUUUUACUCUUAUUGAGCAAACAAAGUUCAUAAUGGAAAUAUUUGAUAUAAGUCUAUCAUCUACCCAAUUGAUUUGACGUAAAUAUUAAGUGUUCGGCUUCUCAUUCGAUAUUCGAUAUCCACAUUGAAGUCCGAUUAAAUCUGAAUUCACGUCGGAAAGUCUUACAUUAGGAGGUAAAACACUCCCUAAUAAAGGCGACUCUAUAUCCAAAGGAUUCGAACCUAAGACUUUUUGAUUAAGAAUAAAUGAGUAUUUAUCACUGUAUCACAACCUCGUUAGUUUGUGUACUAUCAUACAUAACAAAUACUAAUAUGUCUUUAAUUUAUUUAUGUGAAUUCAAUUCUUUCAUUGAUUUGUCAAGUUGACCAAUUGAACAAGGACCAUAUAUGUAAUGACACAAAAUGUGUUGGUCCACUUGUAUGUAGUGUCAAACUCCUUGGCCCCUACAAUUAAAGCACACAAGGUACAUUUAGACUAGUGAAAUAAAUAGUGAACAUUAAGGAUGUGUCUGCUAUAAAGGAAAAAUAUUUUUUGAAAACAAAUACUUUUUUUUUAGUAUUUAAUAAGUUAAAAAAGAAAUUAUAUUAUCCAGCAAAAUAUGAAAAAUAUUUUCUAAGCAAAAAUAAAUAUGCAAUUUUGCUAACAUAAUUUUUCAUAACAUUUAGAUUAAUUAAAUAUGAAAAUUGAAAAAUAUUUUCGAGUAAAAUUCAAUAUUCAUUUUUGUUAACGUAUUAUCAAAGCAGAAUUAAUCUCAAUAAAAUAUUCCGUCCUAAGUGUGAAGGAGGGGUGCGUGAAGAAGUCCUACACCAAUAAUAGCACUUUUUUUGUUAUUUCAAUUUUAAUAUCAUGAUGUAUGGUAUGCAUAUUUUAAUAAUAUGAUAUUUGAUACGGUGUACAAUAUUUAUAAAAGAAUUGCAUUAUACCAUACUAAGUAUAUAUAUAUAUAUAUAUAUAUAAUAUUAUUGUUAUUAUAAUAAAAAAUAUAAACCAGCAUUAGCACAAAAUUAAUUGUUAAUGUUGGAACUUUGAUACUCUAUAUUGAUUAAAAUGUAUUUGUUGUUUAAUUUUUUUAAUAAAGGAAAUUAUUUGUAAUUUCUUUUGAAAUAUUUCUACAUAGAUGUGUUAACAUGAUAUAGUUGAAUUUUUUUUCUUGAAAAGCUGAGUUUAUAAUUCUAUAUUAUAUGAGUAUAUAUACAGUGAAAUCAAACAAACUAUGGUUAUCGAUUUAUCGUGCCACAAAAUAUCAAACCAUACUAAAUUAAUUACUCUCUUAGUCUCAUACUAGUUGAUCGCUUUUCAUUUAGUACGGUGCUUACAGAAAUCUUAAAUAAGAAGAUAAGUCUACUAAUUCACCUCUUAAAAAAACUUCUUGAGAAUUUUAUAAACAAAUGCGAACACUUUCAAAAAGAAAUAUUACAAGGAUAAUAUAGGAAAAAUCUAAUUAAUUCUUUUUUGAUUUAGUAAGGUAGACAACUAAUAUGAGACAACUAUUUUUAAGAUGAUGAUCAACUAAUAUGAGACCGUAGGAGUAGCUUUUAAUUUAGUAUAGUAAUAAUUUACUCUAUCCAUUUCAAUCCGUUUAUCUUACUUUUCACUUUGACUCCUUUUUGAUAAUUCAAUAAUUUCAUUUUUUUUCCCGAUGACAUAUUUAAGAUAACAAAAUUAAAAAUAUCUUGAUAUAUUUUAUAUAUUUUUAAUUUAAUUAAUUUUAACCAUCUUCCACACGUAAGGGUUGGCAAUAUUAAAUGUGAACAAGAACAAGCGUGUAAUAUGAAUAGUGGACUUCAUUAACAAAUGGAAAAAAACGUAUGAAAUGAUGUAAUGCGGCAGAUGAAACCACUCUUUCAUGAAUUAUAAAUUUUGAUUUUAAACCUCGUAUAAAAAUAAUCAUAGGUGAAAAAUUGCUUCCCCCGAACCAAUCUUACAAACUAUAAAUUCAACUCAAUCAAUCCUCAAUACGAAUAUCAAAUAUCAAGUGAAAAAAAAUCGUAAAAUAUCUAGAAAUAUAAAACAAAGAAGAAGAUUGAUGUACAACAAAGAUGAAGGCGUUGAUUGAUGAGUGAUUGCCAUAGCAGUGACGGCAACUACACCAAUCCAAUUAAUUAAAUUAAAUUAAUUUAAUUAAAAAUAUUCUCUUUGUCUCAAAAUAUGUGACACUUUUCAUUUUUAAGAGUCAAACAGUUUAAAUUUGAUCGAAAAUUUACGCCAAAAUCUUUAAUUUUUUUGAAAUGAAAUUUAUAUAUUUGUAAAUUACAUAAAAAGUAUUAUAAGUCACAAUAAUUAAUAAUUUAAAAUAUUUAAAAAAUCUAUAAAAAAUUUACGAUCAAAAAGAAAUUUGCUUGAAUCUCGAUAUUCAAAACAAACCACAUAAAAUGGGAUGGAGGAGUAAGAAAAAGAAGUAGGUAGGGGACCAAUCUAGCGUAGCUACUAUAAGUGGACACGUGGUGAGACAGAAAUGUGAGCCCCAUAAUCUUAUGUAAGUGUAGUAUUCAUAUUAGUUUUUCUUUUGUUUUUUCUUACUUUUUCGAGUCGAACAUCUAUCUGAAAUAGUCUCUAUAUUUUAAGAUAAAAAUAAGAUUUGCAUGUAUGCUAUGAAAUUGUAUUGAGUAUAAUAUCUAACUUGAAUCCUCAUCCUUUAACAUGAACCAACCCUAACUCGUUCGAUAUCUACCAAGGACAUAGGGUUCGACUCUGAUUAUACUCUAAAACUCAAUCCUGACCCCGACCCCAACUCUCCACCUAACCUGAAAUUAGACUCCUAACUUUGAUCUAGGAUUUGACUUUUGUCUCCGAUCCUGAUCCGGAUUCCAAGUUAGGGUUAGGAGUCUGGUCUUGAGUGGGGGUUCAUAGUUGUGUUCGGGGUCAGGGUCAUGAGUCUAGUCCAAAAUGAGGAUUGGAUUAGAAUUUGAGACAAAAUCUCGUGACAAUUUUAAAAAUUAUAUCCUAUAUUAGAAUUGGGAGUUGAGCUUUGAAUUGGGAUUAUUUAAGUCAAAAUUUGAGCCUCGUGUUAUAAUCGACAGUGAAAUCCCAACUUAGAAAUGGGAGUUGAAUCUCCAAUUGGGGUCAGGAUUGGAUAGUAAAAUUGUAAGAAAGUUUUAGAAAAUGUUGUUCUCAUUUGACAUAGGAAAGUUACUUUUAUUAAAUUGAAGGAAGAUGUUUAAAAAAAAUUGUUUUCAAAAUAUUUAAGCUUUUUAUUUUUAAAAAAAACAUGUCAUAUAAUUAAGGUGGACCAAAUAGUACACUAUUUUGCUUCUUGUUUUUUUAGACUUAGUUGGGUGCAUUACGGCGCGUGCUCCUGACAAUGGUCCCAAUCACACUCGGAAGCGAAGUCACGUAGGGUCAAUAGUAAAAUGUUAUAAAACAUUAUUUAUAUAUAACUAAAAUUAUUUUUUACUUAUAUAUAAUAGAUAUUUAAUUUUCUUUAUUUAACCUUUUUUUUCAUAUUUUAUAUAUCAUUAGUAAAAAUUCUGAAUCUACCGCAACGUUUCGUUUAUAUACUGGGAAACAGUACGGAAUUUGAGACCACUAUAAUAAGGCUAAUGCCUACCUUAAACAUUUUUUUUUGGCUUUUCAUUUUUACUGCUGUUUGGUGCGCUCUCUUUUUUACUCUUCUAUACUCUUUUUACAUUUCAUAAUCACGACCAACUAAAAAGAAUAAUGUAUCUGUUUGUAACAAAUUUCAAAGUGAUAGAAAAUAAAUUGUAAUUACUAAUAAAAUAUGAAGAAAUCACAAAUAAAAUAUGAAAAAACAUGGUUUUAUUGAUAAAUAUUACGGGUACAAAUCUCUUCCUCCUUUGAUUCUUCUCUCUUUUAGGAUUUAUCCAUGAUUCGAGGGUCGUUAGUGACGUAUCUCCCGUACUUGAAUGAUUUGGACUUGAUUUCUAUAAUUUGAGGGCCGUUAAUUAGUAGCGUAUUUCUUGAAUUGAGAUGAUUUGGAUUUGAUCUCUUUAUUAAUAUUCCAUGAAUUUGUGAAGAAAUUUUCGAGAUUUGAUCUUGGAAUCCCUUGAUCUUAAUGGAUAUUCCAUGAAUUUGGAGAAUAUUUUAGAUGUUGAUCUCUUUAUGAAUUUUUGAGAUGUCUUUUCAAGGGAAUAUAAUACCAUUUGUACAGGCAUGAUGAACUACGAUUUAGAGUUGAGUAACUUUCAAAAAUUUCAAUUGGAAUUGAACACACCUUAUAGAGUCCCAACUCGAAUUGAACAUGUCUCAUAUGCCAUGAAAGUUGCAUGCACAAUAAUCAAAAGGAUUCACAUCUAUAUGUGUAGUAUGCAUCUGCACUCACAAGUGAAGCGAAUCCGAAAACUAAUUUAUCAAAUGUUCAAUAAGUCUUUGAUUUGAUUAAUAUUGAUUGACUCGAUAAUUUAUUGUAAUAUUUUUAUACCUUGCUACAUGUUUGAUUAAAUAAUUUUUUACCAAUAUAGUAAGGAGUAAGGACUAAGAAGUGACAUUUCAUCUGUGGCCGAUUUAUAAUUAAUGUUGAUGAGACUUGGUAUGCAUGAAAUUAAUUUUUGGCCUAUUUAUGAUUAAUGAUGAUGAGACUCAUUCUAAAGGAAAAUUGUGUAUCUCUUUGUUUUAUUACGUGGUGCACAUGUUAAAUAAUUUUAGGAAUAAUUGGUGAAUGAAUGGGUCAUAUUUAAUCUCAAAAUACUUUCAUCGUUUCAAUUUGUUUAUUUUACUUUCUCUUUUACUUUGUUAAAUAAAAUUAUUAACAAUUUUUUAAAUUUUAAUAUUUUACAUGUUAUUUUUAAGACACUGAGAUUAAAAGACAAUUUAAUACAUUGACAUAAUUUUAAUAUAAGACUUUAAAAUUUAAAAAUCUUUUUUUACUUUCUUAAUAUCGUGUCAAAUCAAAAUAAAACAAACAAUUUAUAACGAAGAGAGUAUUUAUUUAUUUUUCAUUUCAUAUUAAUUAUUGUAUUGUUUGUUGUAGUUUCGUUUUGUUAUAUCUCUUACAUUUAUUACUAUUGUUUCUUGUACUUUAAUUAUUACUUCUUUUUUGAAAAUUUUUUGAACAAUUUGUUUAGGUCGAGAGUCUAUUAGAAAUAACUUCUUUUAUCUCUAACGUAGAGACAAGAUCUAUAUAUACUCCAUCCACUUAAUUUUAUUUGCUUGUGUAACAACCGGGUUCCGUUGUUAUAGUAAAGCCAACGGAAAAAAAUUGGGUCGGAAAACUUUUUCGUAGUAAUUGAAAUUUUCCAACCUAGUCCAGAUUUGGACGAAAUCGAAGUCAUUAAGGUGUAGGGAAAUCUGGUAGCAAUCGGGUGAUUUAUUUAUAAUUCUGGUUACAUGAUUGGUUAGAUAACUCGUUAAGGAAUCCGUACGACUUUACGGAAUUGAAUUCAGGCGAGUAGAACUCUCGGAAUCGAUCUUAGCAUGACGGGUAUUUUCUGAGUGUUGUGGGUUAGAGGUGUGUUGUGAAGUGGAAAUUUUGGAAUUAUUAAAAUAGCUCACUGUUUCGUGCAAGCCGCUUUGGCGCUGGAUUUUGUCGCUUUGGCGGGCCAGACGCGACUUAAAGUCGUAAAUAAAUCUCUACAUGACUUUAUUCUGCACUUUUCAAUUUUUAGAGCUAAGGAACGAACCUCAUGCAACUCCUAACAGUUUUUCACCAUUCUUGAUGCUAAAGGUCAGUUUUUCACUCCCCAAACGCGUUUUUUGAUCCGUAUAAUGUAAUAGAAUGGGUAAUUAUCGAUGAGGGAGGGUUUUGAUCUAGAUUCUAUGGUGGAAACAACCCUAUUUGGAUACUUGGGAUCAUGGGUAUGAUCUAGGGUUGUUAGAAUUGUUAGUAAUCCGGGUAAUUAGUGAUUGUUUAUUGAUUCCCGUGUUAUUAUGAUUGUUUGUAGACCAAAAACAAGCGGAACGAAUCCGGAAAGGGAAGGAUCAAGUUUCUUAGGGUUUCAAGCUUGUUUCGAGGUAGGUGAUGAUUGUGUGAUGUAUGUUUGUCUUGCUUCAUUAUGAUACAUGUAUGUAUAUGAAUGUUGCAUUAUUGAUCACACUUGUUGUAAAUGAGAUAGAUGAAUGAUGGUUACCAUGAAAUCAUGACUUAAUUGUAUGAUCUUAAGGAUAUACUUGUGAUUGUGAUUGUGGUGUGUUGAAUGGAUCGGUUGUCACGUUCCGACAUAACUAACUUGGAUCGGUUGCCAUGUUUUGGCAUAAUUAUGGGAUCGGUUGCCACGUUCCGGCAUAAUCAUUGAAUCGGGUACCACGUUCCGAUAUGCUAACUGUUUGGGUUUGGGUUUCCUAAGAGUACCAAUCAUUUGAUAUAAUUGUGUAUCUUGAGAAAUGUGAAGUUGUUCGUUGUUAGUAAAUGUUUGAUAAUAUUGUAUAUGUUCGUUAUAUGCAUGUGAUUAUAUUGUUGUGAUGACUUAUGUAUGUUGCACUUAGUGGGAUAGCACGUGAUCCUACCAGUACACUGUGGUUGUGUAUUGAUAUUGCACUUGCUCUUGUUUUUGUUGAGUACAAGGCAUCUUUAAGCGGCUACUGACAGACCUCGCUUAGGAGAUCAUUGAUCGUCGUUCGAAUUCAAGAGUGAGCCAAUUCUUCCAGGCUGCCAUGAGUUCUCCUUUUAUCUAUGUCCACAUUUUGGACUUAGACAGUUCUAUUAGUUAUUAGUACAUUAGUUGGGGUUGUAUCCCUUCUUGUCUAGACUUGGUUCAUUGUUAGAUAUUUUGAGACAUUGACUUUCAGGUUCUAGGCAUUACUUCCGCAUUGUUAGUUUAUUAUUGUUAGACUUUUGUUAGAGUUUAUGAGAACUCUAUUUCUUUCCUUAGUAUUUUCCUGCUUUUCUGUACUUAAAUGUCUUAGUUUUUGUUUAGUUGCUUGGUUUGAGUUGUAGUAGUGGUUCUCCCACCGGAGGGUUAGUGUGAGUGUCAAUCACGACGGUCUGGAUCGUGACAACUUGAUUUUGAUUUAUAUAACAAAUAUUUAACAGUAAAGAAGAUUCAAGGAAAUGAGAUAAUUGAAACAAUCAAUAAUAUACUCAUAAAUUCUACUAAGAGAAAUAUUUACAAGUAAAGAAACUAUUUUCGAAUAAAGAAAAGUAUAAAUAGAAUAUCUAUUACUUUUUAGUCUAUCCUUUCUUUUCAAGCUAGAAGUUCAAUUUGGAUUAGACCGUGUAUAGUAGACAUAUGCCAACAAUGAACACAUCUUCCAUGAGUUGGAGACAUAUUGGGUCAUUAUUGAAAGGAUAAUAUUUUUUUACUUAUUCGAUAUUUUGAAUAAAUAUAGAUAGUUAUAAGAUAAAUUUUUAGGAUUAUUUUAUUUCUUAUUUAGUUAUUAAUAUUGAUAUAAAUUACAUUAUGUUAUAGUAUUUAAUAUCGGAUGAAAGUCUUUAGAAAAUAAUAUUUCUAAUUUUACGAUGUAAUAGUAAGAUCGGUGUGUAUUUUACCUUUUUCAGAUUCACUUGUGAAAUUUUACUAAAUAUAUUGUUAUGGUAAUUAUUAUCGAAUAAGUUAUUUUUAAUCAAAAAAAUGAAAUAACAAUGUCAGAAUCAGUUAGCUUGAAAUUAAAUAAUGAAAAUGACGAAAUUAUAUCUUUGUGACCAAAAUAAGUACUUCUUAAAAUUAAGCAAUGCAUAUUAUUUUUAAUAUAACAAAUUAAAUAAAUAGUAAAAAAUAUGUAAUUUCAAAUUGAAGUUGUGUUUCUGGAUCAUUUUUGAUGAAUUUUUUUUUAUAUAAAUUAAAUUAUUAACGCAAACAUAUAAAAAAGACAAAAAGAAGAAAGAAAAUAGUAAUGCUUUUGUUAAAAAAUCACAUAACUCUUUUAAUGCCAAACAAGAAAAAAGAAAGAAAAAAAGGAAUUCUUGAUUUUGCCCAUAUUAUUUGUUUUUUUGUGCCCAAAAAAAGAUUAUAAGACGGCCGAAUACGCCUUUGCAAUUUUAAAUAUCUUAUAAUACCAUAACAUUUAUUUCAUACAUAAAUAAAAGAAUAGUAUUCAUCUAAAACAUAUUUCGUAUAAUUUCAUAAAUAAAAUUUAAUAAUAAUAAUAUGUAUUCCCAUUUUUUAAAGAUAGAAAAAACUUCCCAAUUUAAAUAGAAUAUUUCAAAGACAACAUAAUAGUGAAAAGAGAAAAAUAGUAACAAUAAUAAUAAUAAAGUUCUUUUUAAUAAAAAUUACUCCCUUUAGGAAAUCAAAUGCCCACCAAUAAUAUUCAACAGAAAAAUUAAAUAAGUAAUUUUUAAUAAUCUACUAACUUUUUUUAAUUUCCAAAGUAAAAUAAUAUCGAUAUACACUAUAUUUUUAUUUAAAUAAAUAUUCAUAUACCUUUACAUAUAUAUAUAUAUAUAUAUAUAUUAUGUUAUCUAAUAUCAUGUCUUCAAUAAAUUUCGAAUCUAAAAAUAUCAAUCAAUUGAGUAUCGUGAUUGUAUGAACAUAGUAUAUAUAUAUAUGUCUACAAAAACAACAGUUAUAGUAAACGCUGUUGUUUUUUUCCUCUAUUUUCUUUCUCUCUGUACUUUUCUUCUUUCUGUACCAAAAAAAAAAUGAACAGAAACCAUUGAACACUCUAUAAAAAAAAAAGAAAAAAAGGAAGCCAUAGCCAUGGAGUUUCAGGACCACUUUUCUCAAGAAAUGGCUCUUCAUCAACAACAACAGCAACAACAGCAGCAACAAAACGCGGUAUUGCGUUCCAUGUUACCUGAAUCUCCUCAUCACGACGUUCGAAAAUCACCUCCGACUUGGCUCAACACUUCUCUCCUUCGUCAACAACACAGUCAGUUCGCCAACGCAUCCUCAC